rnacentral:lncRNA from 1 species
CCUCCUUCCCGAGGCAAUUCCCUGCUCUCCCCUGCAAGAGGGGCACCCAAAGCCAUUCACCCCAUCCGACUUCAGAGUGUACUCUUUGAGUUUGGCAACUCACCACCAGCAUCCAACCAAACCUAGCGGAUCAACGGCGUGUCAACUUAGUUCCUGGUCAGCUCGCGAGUUGAUUUUAUCACGUCCUAUACCGUCCACAAGAUGGGGGGCCACCUCCCAUUUCAUCACCUCUCAAACACCCCGAGAGGUCGGCAGGCGGAUUUGAACCCGGACGCGCCGGGACGUGACGGGAGCAGAAGCCAGACCUUAACCUCUGCCAGCCGCCUGCCUGAUGUUGUAUGCUACGAACGCUACCUGACGCGGAACACCUUGCCCCCUAGCUGAUUCACCGGAUCCUGGCUUGCUGCCGCUAGCUACGCUGCCACUAGCUCCGUUGCCACUGUUGCUGUAGCCACCCUUAUAUCCAGAUUUUGACGACUGCUUGAGCGCUUUAAGCUGCCUGCAGUCCUUUACCACGUGCCCAUGUUGAGGAAACGGUCUUCUCCCAACUCGUGUGGUUGUCGACCAGGGGAUUUGACCCCAGGUCUGUGCCUGACUAAUGGGGAAGACUUACCCCCAGAACUUUAAAGGGCUACCGAUGCAUAUCCGGUAGCUAAGUAAUAGACAUUUGGGCACCGUCAGGACGGCGCAGAGAGAUCGCGGAAUGUACGUGCAGUUAGAUCGCGGAAUGUACGAGUUUUCCGAUAGCGCCGGUAUUUAGGGCGGUGACUGCGCUUAUUUGUUUAUCUCACAACGAUCGGUAUUCCUCAAAGGAAUCUCCUCAAGUCCUGCCUAACGCAAUUUACAGUUUUUUACAUUACUUGAAAUGUUACAGAGUGGGAGGCUUCUGGGCCGCUUUACCACAUUGUCAGUUCUACGAUCAUUUAUCACCUUAUAGCACCAUCCACCACUACCACACUGUCUUCGCCAUACGAACUGUAAGUCCAAGGCGGCGGAUCCAGCCUUCAGAGACCCGUCCUCAUCCAUUCACCCGGAGGGUUCGGCAAUCGCCACCAAUCCAGCGUGCGAAUCUGGUCCAUCAACUGUGACCUCAACUCCACAUCUCAGCAGCUAGCCAUAAUCUCGCGCUCCCGACAAAUUCGGGGAUCUCCCCAGGAAUCGAACCCUAAGAUAUUGAACACGAUAAACUGAUACAAGUAAUGUAAGAAGUAGUAUUAUGCGUUAGGCAGGACUUUAGGAGAUUCCUUUGAGGAAUACCGAUCGUUGUGAGAUAAACAAAUAAGCAAACAUCUAUGUGAACUAGUGCUAGUGGCUGAGCUGCUUUGUGUCCUGUUAACGGAAAAGGACCUCGUGUCUGUUUUGCAUAAACGCAGGUCUCACAAACACCCGUGCUGGCUUUUUGGAAACUGUGCUGGUCGACGUCAAAUCCCAUUACCAUAUUGUGCGCAGCAACACCUCGAGGUUGCUGUAGCCAAGAUGUCCGUAACACCGAUGCCAAAGUGUUGCACGCUCCGUCUUGGAAUUCACAGCGGUGCACGUUGUACCAUGUCCGUUGUCACAGUAGCUCGUAUUCUGCGUCCUCCUGAUGGUGCCUGUACUUCCACCUCGAUAGCAAAUGGGGUAGAGAUCACCGUCCCGUUCACCGGUCAACACUAAAUGAUUUUGCAAGUAUACCUGUACUUGACCGUCACCGAAGACGACGCUACCUCCGCGAUCGUCGAUGAUACGGACGGACAAAAUCUUUACCAUCGCCUCCUCGUCAACGUAGACCCUUUUAAAUGUGAUGGCUUGAUUGUCGUUGACAUUAGAUCGAAUGGUAAGCGAUCCAACCUCCGUCGGACGCAGUGAUUGACCCUUAAUGCCCACAAUGCUGAAGCGUUCCCAAGGCCCCAACACACGUGCAUUGUGUAGUUCGGAUCGGUCGUAAGUGACGGGGUGAGUAGAUGCUGAGUCCAGAAACCAUUCCGUCGGACGCUCGCUGUUGUAUGCCACGAACGCUACCUGCCGCGGAACUCCUGGCCCCCUAGCUGAUCCACCGGAUCCUGGAUUGCUGCCGCUAGCUCCGCUGCCACUGUUGUUGUAGCCACCCUUAUUGACGACUGCUUGAGCGCUUUAAGCUGCCUGCCGUCCUUUACCACUUGCCCAGGCUUAUUACAGUAGUAGCAGAUGAGUUGUUUCCGACUGUGUCCCGAGCUGCUGCUAGCCGGCCCCCGGCUGCCAUAACCAGAAUUAGAAGCGCCGAAAGUCGAACCGCCGAGAGACGUGAAGGCUGCCGACUCGGUAGGCUUGUCCGACCUACCGUUAGCCGUCUCGAUAGCGAGAAGCUUUGCUGUGACGCUCGCCAUGUCCAAAUCGCCGUCACGCAUCAGUAGUGUUGUCGUCACCACGCUGUACCGAUUGGGUAGACCAACUAAGACGGUAUACGCCAGCUCGGAGUCGUUGAUUACGUGGCCGAAACCCAACAAGUCCGUUUGCAGCUGCCUCGCACGUGCAUAUACUUCGAAAGUGGCUCACAGUCAACCAUCUUGAAGCGGCUGAAUUCUUGGCGUAGAGCCACCUUGCGGGCGUUGUUGUUGGCAGCGAACAUCAAGUUCAAGGCAUCCCAAGUCUUCGCGUUGGCUGCACCGGUGACCAUCGGCAAAUGGUGAUCCUUAACGUUCUUGAUAAGCAGAUUGAUGACCUUCCGUGAUUGAUGAAUCUGCUCCUCGUUGCACGGCUCGGCGAGCAAAGACUGCUCAAGCCGAAGCUCCAUGCACAUCGCACUAAACCGUCGGUGUUACGGACAUUUGGGCUACAGCAACCUCGAGGCGUUGCUGCACCACAAUAUGGUAAUGGGAUUUGACGUCGUCCAGCACAGCUUUCAGAAAGCGAGUACGUGUGUUUGUGAGACCUGCGUUUUUGCAAAACAGACACGAGGUCCUUUUCCGCUGACAGGGCACAAGGCAGCCCAGCCACUAGCAUUAGUUCACAUGGAUGCGUGUGGACCUAUGCCUGAACCUUCGCCUAGUGGUUCUCGCUACGUGACAACUCUGCUUGACGUCCAUACCGGUCUUUCAGCAGUUGCGUUUACAGCGACCAAGGAGGAGGUCUAUCUGAAGAUGGUGGUAAUGAUAGCGGACCUGGAGCGCGCUUCUGGCAGGCAGGUUAAGGAGGUUCGUACGGAUCGUGGCGGGGAGUUCAUUAAUACUCGCACGAAGGGCUAUUUCGCGUCCAGGGGUAUUGUUCAUGGAACUACGGUAGGCUACACCCCUGAGCAGAACGGAGCAGCGGAACGUUUGAAUCGCAAGACACAAGUUAUGCAAGUCUUGGUAUCUCAUCUUAGGAUGGAUCGGUAUUCCUUAACAGGAAUCUCCUAAAGUCUUCUUUCCGUUCACCAUUAACCCACAGACUUUAACCCUUAUGUCGCGACCAGUCUCCUUGCGUUCAUAUUCUUAACAGGGAUCGCUGCCUAGGGCUGGCGAAGGGAUACCAGGUAGCACCGUCCGCGAGGGAUCGCCGCACUUGGGUGGCGAGGGGGCGCCGGCUGGGGCUGAACCAUCCAGCAGUGUAUUGAAGAAUCGACUGCGGUGGCAGCUGGCGGCGACUGUUAUUUCGGAAAGGAAUACCGGCGUGUUCGUCGCCAGAUAGUUCAAUCCUCCCACCAAAGCCCUAUACUCCGUGGGAUUGCCCAGCAGCUCCUCUCCGUCCCCCUUAGGAGUGUACCUAAAGCCCGGAGGGUAGAUCUCGGCUUGGCGUCAACCAUCCUAUGACGCUCCAACAGCUGCUCAAUGUACCUAUGCUGCGACAACACUAACUCACCCGACUUCUCCCUCCUAAUCUCCAUGCCCCCAAACACCUUCGCUUCUCCAAGGUCACGCACCCUUAAGACCUUCACAAUUGCGGCUUUAAUUUCCCGGACCAUUUCCGGGUCUUCUGACGCAACAAUGGGGUCAUCUACGUGCACCAAAGCAAUCCCCACGCUCGUCCAUAAUAAUGAACAUCGCCGGAUCAGACUUCGAAGGAUAAAGACCCAGCUUGGCGAACUCUGCUGAUAUCUUUUCAUACCAGCAACGGGGUGCCUGCUUCAAACCGUAAAUAGACCUCUGCAGCUUGCACGCAAGCGACCGGUCACUGGAUACAUACCCAGGUGGUUGCUGUAUCCACAACUCCUCCUUCAACUCGCUGUUCAAAAAUGCAGUAGACACAUCGAGCUGGUGUACCGUCAUGUUCCGCGCUGCGGCAACUGCUAAUAAAGCACGUAAUGACGAACCGAGGUAGGGGCAAACAACUCCCCAUAAUCAAUCCCCUCGCGUUGCUCGAAACCCUUCGCAACCAAUCGCGCCUUAAAACGCUCCACGCUGCCGUCAUCGUUGUACUUAACCUUAUACACCCAACGACACGGCAAUAAAUGAGUACCAGGAGGUGGCGUCUUCAGCUCCCAAGUACUGUUAGCCAUCUGGGCGGCGAUCUCCUCGUCCAUCGCACGCCGCCAAUCGUCUGCAUGAAGACUUGCAAUGGCUUCCGCAAACGAAUUCGGUUCAGGAAUAACAGCAGAGAAAGUAGCAUUAACGACCAGUAACAGUGCGACCAGGUUCCGCCACCAUUCGCCAGGGCGUUUACGUUCUCUAACUGGAUACCUAGUUCCCGCCAUUUCCACAUCAGGCUAAUUACUUCCUUGCCCGUUCGCACUGCUGGAAGGUCCAGCCCCAGCCGGCGCCCCCUCGCCACCCAAAUGCGGCGAUCCCUCGCCGACAGUAUUGCCUGAUGUUGUUGAGGAAACGGUCCUCUCCCAACUCGUGUGGUUGUCGACCAGGGGAUUUGACCCCGGGUCUGCGCCUGACUAAUGGGGAAGACUUACCCCAGAACCUUAUAGGGCUACCGAUGCAUAUCCGGUAGCUAAGUGAUAGACAUUAGGGCACCGUCUGGACGGCGCAGUGAGAUCGCGGAAUGUACGUGCAGUUAGAUCGCGGAAUGUACGAGUUUUCCGCUAGCGCCGGUAUUUAGGGCGGUGACAGCGCCUAUUAGUUUAUCUCACAACGAUCGGUAUUCCUACCAGGAAUCUCCUCAAGUCCUGCCGAACGCUAACAAUAUUCUUUACAUUACUUGUAACAGUUUAUCGUGCUAAAUAUCUUCGCCACCGGCCCUCCCCCCCCUCCCGGAGUGCCUAUGCCCCGGAGUGGAAGUUGGCUAACGAACUACGGCGAGGCCAGGAACACCAAUUGAGUUAAUUAUUGCUUUUCUUUAUAGCUUAAAUUUUGCACAAAGCGGUCAUACUUUGGUAGAUGGAAACUGCGACUGCCGGACAGAGGUCACACAUUUACAUAAUGCCAAAUGAACGGACUACAGAAACUGCAUAGCUAAAGAAAAGUUAUUGCUUUAACUAGUUUAGCAAAGAGCUUAACUAGUUUAGCAAGAGCGCGGGCACCUCCGAUUUCGACCUCAGGUUGGCCGAUGAUGAUGACAGGACUUCUCGCUUUGUACCCAUCCAAAAGCACCGAAACGCAUAGGAUUGUUGUGGAAUCUAGCACAUGCAAGACAUUGCGUGGUCGACGUUAAGGGGGCGCAUGAUGCCCCGGCAGCGCUUUCUGGGCCUCCAGGAGCCCCAAAACGGAUUGUCUAGGAUCGAUCCAUUGCAGAUAGAUCGUAGGCGCUGGUCUGACGGUCAUAGGGCUCAUAGCAGCUGGAUGGCUUUCAGACUGCCGGUCAUGGGAACCCGGGAGGCGUGCUGUUGGUGCGGGGCAAACCAGGGCUGUCGGGUGACCGGCGGACAUGGAUGGGUGCACCACCAAUUGAUAUACACACAGGGACGUAUUCUAAUCGGGGCGCUCGGCGGUACUCCGCCUGGAGCAAGCAGGUUCAACUCCUGCCGUCCUGUUCCUUUCAUCAUCCUCCCACAAAGAGUCCCGGGGACCAGUCGGGUGGUUAUGACGAUGCGGUGGCGGCUGCGGUGGUGGCGGUGGCCGCUGGCUAUCACGGUGCGCCCGUCACCGCUGCGGCAGCGGCAGCAGCGACGACCAGCCUGGUGGCGCAGUGCAGCAGUGCGGGCCCCGGGUGGGGCUUGUACGGGAGGGGAUAUGGCGGGGACCAGUCGGGUAGCUACUAAGGUGGCCAUGGGGGUUUUACGACCAGUGACAUGCAUGGCCUGGGACUGCAGCUACCAGCUACAUGGCGGGGUGACGAGUGGGGCGCUCUUGUUUGGUGGGCGAAACCCUGGAAGGGGUGCACAACGCACAGCAGGUCCCGGGUUACGGCAGUGGAUCUCAGGAUCGAGGUGUAGUGGUGACGGGAUCAGCAAUGUUGCCAGUGUCGGCAAUGUCUCCGAGUGGGGAUGUGGGCACGGAGGGGGGCGUAGGUGACACGUCCACAGCGGAUUGGACAGGCGGGCUUUACUAAAAUCAUAAUUGGAUACGGUGGGAGGGUGGUGAGCAUGCCGAUUGAAGCGGAGGCAUGAGGACGACGGGCAGUGCUGGCUGACAUUUACACAACACCGGUGCCAGCGGAACAAUGUAUGUGGGAUGUGGCGGUUGGAAAAAAGGAGUAGGCUCAUGGCGGCUGCAAUGAAACAAAGGACAUGCGGACCCAGGCUGGGGACCUCCUGGCGGAGAAAGGCCCAAGACACGCUGUAACGGAUUUUUUGGGUUUGCGCAACUUUGGGAGAAGAGAAAACAGGCGGGGCCUUCAGGCGUGGUUCAGUAGAGGGGGAUUCCCCCGGCUGCCGCCGCACACAUCACGAGCCAGGAUAGGUGUGCCAAGACCUCAAGCGGGGCUUACAAGGUGGGGGGACCAUUGGGGGGUUGGUCGGCCUAUGGGUCCACGGUAAUCAUAAUUCACUCAUGGCUCUCCAUGGCAAACGUGUAGGCCCGUGAGCUUAGCCAUUUGCCUCAUGCGAAUCAACGAACAGGCUGUAAUCCUGCGACUGCUCGCCUCUCUUUCACUCUACAAAGCGGCUCUUNNNNNNNNNNNNNNNNNNNNNNNNNNNNNNNNNNNNNNNNNNNNNNNNNNUGCCCGCAGAGCUGGAUGUGCUGUACUGAGGACACAAGUAUUGCCGUAAUGUGCACGCGGAAACCAUUUCUAGUGCCUCUGUUCACCUGCGGUUGCCGGCACUUAUCAGCCAGAUGUGACUAUGUACCAGUCGAUGACGCUGGAUUAGCGUUUUGCCGUCGAAGGCCUUGGAAAUGAUGGCAACUUCAUACGCUGCGCCGCAGCUGUAUGAGGGCAUAUAGCACCCACCCGGGUGAGCGAUGGGGGGUAGCAUGGUAGUUUUUUUUUCAGUUGGGUGCGCGGGGAACCAACAUGUAAUAAUGAUGGCUGUCGUACACCUGCUAACCCCUAUCCCUAAGAUUGUGGGGUAUUUCUUGAAGCAGCUAUUCGGGGGCUGUGUCAUCAUGUGGCUUAGUGAAUCGGUGAUGCACUCUGCGGUUGAGAAGUCGGUAUGAUGGCCAAGUGCUGAACCCUAAAAAGCUACUGAGCUCGCAGUGGAUGAGAAGGAUGAGGUCACUGCCAGGCUAGUGGUCACCGGUGAAGCUAUUCUACCAUAUCCCAAACAAUAACAGGUCGAUAUGGGAUGUAAGAAGAACAUUUUGUACAUUCAGUUCAUAAGUGCACCAAAGGGUAGGGUGAUACUCAUCUUUUUUUUCGUUUGAUGUUUCCUUGAACCUGCUUUCCCAAACCUAAUUAUAAUCUAAUCCAGUCUAGUACACUUGAGUAAAAUGCUACUGCCUUUGACUUCUACCGCUACCCUUUGCUCCACGAGCCAACGCGUGGUCUACAACCAUGAAAACCACGAAUUGCAGAUCAGUUUGCACCCAAUUACCCAGAUUCUGCCACCUGACUGUCCUUCAUGGCCACCUUCCAGCCAGAGAUGCCAACCCCAGCGAACACGGCGGCUCCACGCAUUCCCAACAGCACUCAGGCGAUGGCCAUGAUCCUAAAGCGGGACGGAUGGCAGAUACCGGGCGGCACAACAAUCGUCCCGCUUAUGCACCUAACGGUCCGCCUAGCGACACAGCUGCAAUGCGGGGCCACGGAGGAGAAACGGGGAUGCUUGAUGGCAGCAUUUUUGUGGACCCGCAGGAAACGGUACCUUCAUCCUCGGCGGAAAUUAGCUGCUUCAGGGCCUGCUUGUGGUCUGGGGUGCGGUUGGAGAACGCAAACAAAUAAACGCUGUGGCGGCUUGGCCGUGGACGGCAUCCCCCUGCCCGGCAACACGCACCUGGCUCGCAUGGUGCCCAAGCGGUGUGGGUGCGGAAGGUUCGGCAAUGCCAGCAACCAGCAAUGCUCCCCACGCAUGAACCACUUCUGGGAGUGCCCCGUCGCACAGGCUGUCCAUUGAUCGACACCCCCAGGAGGCCGCGACAGGCGGCAUCACCCGGAAGCAGCUGUGGUUGGUCCAGGCCCCGACCGGCUGCGAACAGGCCCCCUGGGAUGUGAUCGCCCUGGCGGCCCUGUCUGCUAUAGAGGUAGGCAGGUGCUGCCUGCGAGCAGCCGGAGGACGGCUGGAAAGGGCGGCUAACCCCGCGACGCAACGGCCAGAGCAAGUGCAACAGAUCCAGGCGCAAGGACCCCAACAGCGGCGGAUAACGGACUUCUCCCACCUGGGCAAUGGAGCGAGACCGCAGGAGGGCCCGUUGCUGAACGCGCCGGUACUCGAGGAUCAAACGCAGGGGCAAGUGUUUUGCGCGUUCAAUGCUUGCCAAGCAGUGAAAGCUGGGGCAUUGAUUAUUAGCGUCUUAUAAAUUAUAUACAUAAGGAUGUUUUGUAACUUUGGACCAUCAUUUCCAUGGCCAUCUGCUGGGCGUCCGCUGGAACGGUCAGGAUGUACGGCGUUGCGGACAGGGAAGCGUCCGCGGGGGGGGUAUAAGUUCCUGCAAAGCACUCGGCACAAAUCAGCUGCGUCUACGCACUUGCAUCAGGUACAAAGUCGACAUUCCUCCUUUCGCAUGCAUUGGGUAGACGGCAAUUCCCCGCAGCGGCCCCCUUGGCAAUCCAAUCCCUUGGCUCAGCCAACCCUGCCACUAUGAGCCACUGUAACGGAUCUCCUUGUACAUCUUAUACAUGCCACUACCACCACCAUCACCACCACUUAUAAUUGGUUUAACCGUAAGUCCUCCCUAAUAUCGUGGCCUCGUAUUUUGUCGCAUAGUGUCGUACAGUAUAGCUGUAGCAUCGUCAUAGGUAAGGUUAGUCUCGGAUCCGGCAAAACACAAAACAAAAUUACACGCCUACUGGUAAUAAAGGCACAAGCAAGCACGCAUUCACACGUAAACCACCACUGCCACAGCCAUUCACUGCAACACACGUACACACGUACACACACACAAAAGGCUGACCCGUUAUCCGACAGGCAAACACCAAAACCAAACGCCUCCAAACCAAUAACAUCGCAAUUCUCUUCUCCCCCCCCCACUCGCAGCCAGCUCUCUCUCCUCCCCUCUCCUCCCACCCCCCAUGUACAGCACCUCCUGCCCCCAUAGCCCCUCAUCAUUGCCGUCGGAAGGUACCCUAGCCACGCUACCCAAGCGCCACUGGCGCCGCCGCCGCCACUGCAGCGGCGCCGCCGCCGUCGCCGCCGUACGCCAGCAGGGGCAGCGGCCGCUCAAACAGCUUUCCAACCUGCCCCGUGGCGUUGUGUCGAAUCUUAAACAGCCCCGUCCCCGUGGGCAUGGCAAUGCCCAUGAUGAUCGACUCGCUCACCCCUACCACAUCAUCCAUGCGCCCGUGUAUUGCCGCGUCAAACAGGUGAUCGGCGGUCUUCUCGAAGCUGGCGGUGUGUAGAACGCUGUCCUUCAUCUUGGAGAUACCGAAGCGGGUNNNNNNNNNNNNNNNNNNNNNNNNNNNNNNNNNNNNNNNNNNNNNNNNNNAACGUCAGUCACCUGCGAGUCUUUGGAUGCGUUGCCUACGUCCACGUACCCGACGUCAAGCGCGACAAGUUCGACCCGGUGAGCAGGCGUGGAAUACUUGUCGGAUACGGGAACGGUGGACAAUAUCGUGUACUAUACGAGGACGGCAUUAUUGCCGUAGUUUCUAACGUUCGUUUUGACGAGUCUAACGUCGGCCGGCGGCGUAAUGCCGGGGACUCCGAUUAUGAGUCCGAUGCCGACGAGGAGGAGGAGUUUCGCACUAGUUUAUCUGGUGAGGGAUCGCUGCCUAGGGCUGGCGAAGGGACACCAGGUAGCACCGUCGGCGAGGGAUCGCCGCAUUUGGGUGGCGAGGGGGCGCCGGCUGGGGCUGGAUCUUCCAGCAGUGCGAACGGGCAAGGAAUCAAUCAGCCUGAUGUGGAAAUGGCGGGAACUAGGUACCCAGUUAGAGAGCGUAAACGCCCUGGCGAAUGGUGGCGAAACGAACCUGGUCGCACUGUCACUGGUCGCAUUAACGCUGCUUUCUCUGCUGGUAUUCCUGAGCCUAAUUCUUUUGCGGAAGCCAUUGCGAGUGCACAUGCAGACGACUGGCGGCGUGCGAUGGACGAGGAGAUCGCCGCCCAGAUGGCUAAUAGUACUUGGGAGCUGAAGAAGCCACCUCCUGGUACUCGUUUGUUGCCGUGUCGUUGGGUAUAUAAGGUUAAGUACAGCGAUGACGGCAGCGUGGAGCGUUUUAAGGCGCGUUUAGUUGCCAAGGGUUUCGAGCAACGUGAGGGGAUUGAUUAUGGGGAGUUGUUUGCCCCUACCUCUCGUGGUUCGUCAUUGCGUGCUUUAUUAGCAGUUGCCGCAGCCCGGAACAUGACGGUACAUCAGCUCGAUGUGUCUACUGCGUUUCUGAAUGGUGAGCUGAAGGAGGAAUUGUGGAUGGAGCAACCGCCUGGGUAUGCAUCUAGUGACCGGUCGCUUGCGUGCAACCUGCAGAAGUCUAUUUACGGGUUGAAGCAGGCACCCCGUUGCUGGUAUGAGAAACUAUCAGCAGAGUUCGCCAAGUUGGGUCUUUAUCCUUCGAAGUCUGAUCCGGCGAUGUUUGUUAAGACGGACGAGCGUGGGGUUGUUAUUGCUUUGGUACACGUAGAUGAUACAAUUGUUGCGUCGGAAGACCCGGAAAUGGUCCGGGCAAUUAAAGCCGCAAUUGCGAAGGUCUUCAAGGUGCGCGACCUUGGAGAAGCGAAGGUGUUUUUGGGCAUGGAAAUUAGGAGGGAGAAGUCGGGUGAGAUAGUGUUGUCGCAACAUAGGUAUAUUGCGCAGCUGUUGGAGCGUCAUAGGAUGAUUGACGCCAAGCCGAGGUCUACCCCUUUGCCUCCGGGCUUUAGGUACACUCCUAAGGGGGACGGAGAGGAGCUGCUGGGCAAUCCCACAGAGUAUAGAACUUUGGUGGGAGAAUUGAACUAUCUGGCGACGAACACGCGGCCUGACAUUUCAUAUGCAUUGAGCGUUUUGUCCCGGCAUAUGGCCGCACCUACGAAGACUGCCAUGAACUUGGCAACCGGCGUUCUGCGUUACCUGGCGGGUACACGCGAACUAGGAUUGCGUUUUGGGGGUGUUGGCGACGUUGCUAUGUCCGGGUACAGUGAUUCGGACUGGGCAGGAGACCCAGUUACGCGGCGUUCUACGUCCGGUUACGUAUUCACUCUUAAUGGGGCUGCGAUUAGCUGGAGCAGCCAACUUCAACGUACUGUGGCGGCUUCGUCGGUGGAGGCUGAGUACCAAGCUACAGCGGCGGCUGUUCGUGAGGCUUUGUGGCUUCGCAAGCUGAUGGUUGAUUUGGGCUUGCCUGAGAGCGCGGUGAAAAUCCAGAUAGACUCCCAGGGGGCGCUUAGCUUGGGAAACAACCCGAUUACGUCUGCUCGGUCGAAGCACAUCGACGUGCAGCAUCACAUAGUGCGUGAGAGGGUGAAUAGCGGUGAGGUGCAGUUGGAAUACUGCCCUACGGAGUGGAUGGUAGCGGAUGUGCUAACGAAGGCUCUGGGCGAGGUGAAGUUCAAACGUUGCCGAGAUGCUAUGGGCCUUGUGUGAAGUGUGCAGAUGAACUUGGUACUCGUUGGGAUACGGCCCGAGGGGGCGUGUUGAGGAAACGGUCCUCUCCCAACUCGUGUGGUUGUCGACCAGGGGAUUUGACCCCGGGUCUGCGCCUGACUAAUGGGGAAGACUUACCCCAGAACCUUAUAGGGCUACCGAUGCAUAUCCGGUAGCUAAGUGAUAGACAUUAGGGCACCGUCUGGACGACGCAGUGAGAUCGCGGAAUGUACGUGCAGUUAGAUCGCGGAAUGUACGAGUUUUCCGCUAGCGCCGGUAUUUAGGGCGGUGACAGCGCCUAUUAGUUUAUCUAACAACGAUCGGUAUUCCUACCAGGAAUCUCCUCAAGUCCUGCCGAACGCUAACAAUAUUCUUUACAUUACUUGUAACAGUUUAUCGUGCUAAAUAUCUUCGCCACCGGCAAUCCUUCCGAAAUAACAAUCAGCGUUAGCCGUCACCGUCGCCAAUUCUUCAAUAGAUGUUCCUUCGCCAGCCCUAGGCAGCGACCCCUCACCAGGCAAGUUAGUGUGAACGUCUCCUCCUCAUCGGCAUCGGACCCAUAAUCGGAGUCCCCGGCACUACGCCGCCGGCCGACAUUAGACUCGUCAAAGCGGACACUGGAGACAACGGUGACGACGCCAUCCUCGUACAGGACACGGUACUGUCCUCCUGUAGUGGUAUCUACCCUUGGCGAAUCCAGCGAUGUAGAGGCGACGUUGACUGGCGCCGAUGAAGUAGACGGGUAGCUAAGUGUAGGUGAAGAUUGUAGUGAAAUCCAGAGUUGAGAGGACGUGGUUCAGGCCUUAAUUAGGGCUCAGCCCUGUAUCAAGCGGACCGGUUAUCAACCGUUGGUCUGUCAAACUCGGACAGGCCGAAAUCCCUUCAUCGUUCACGAUCGGUUAGUUUCUGACAGCCGUCUUGGCCGAGUCCUUCUUGGACGUGGUUACUCGCGUUCGUACGCGGUACCACAACAUUGCCUCCCCCUUAGGGCUUGACGUCCGCGCAAGUCCGUUGUCGUACUGACUCCAGCUCUGCUGUCAUAUCGGGAGUGAAAUGAUUCGCUGGUUCCCAGCUGUUGUGCUCGUCGGUAUAUCCUUGCCACCGUACGAGGUAUUCCUCCACGUACGUCCGACUUUGCGUCGUCGGUAAUCGAGCACCCUCUCAACCGGCAGAUAACCGUCUUCAGUGGUAUCCUGCCAAACAGGCAAUGUCUCGGGUGGUAUGGGACGAAACGGGCCAUCAGCCUAGUACGGUUUCACGAGGCUUACGUGAAACACAUUGUGUAUCUUCAGAUUGGGCGUGAGAGUUAACUUCACCGCAGCUUUACCAAUCAUCUUCUCCACUGGAAAGGGACCAACCCAUCGAGGUUGUAACUUACGGGGUACCUUCGGGCCCAUUCGUAAGUUUUUCGUACUUAAGAGUACUGAGUCACCGGGCUGGUACGUUGCCGAUUUCUUAUCUGCAUUGUAGUACGCCGUGGUCCGAUCUUGGGCUGCCAUCAGGCAUCUCUUUACUUCCUUCAGUCGUUUUUCCAGGGUUUCAGCCAUACCUGCGGCGGCCGGUACGUUACAGGCUGUUUCCCUCACCACCGGUGUUGCCGGGUGCCACCCGUAAUUAAGGAAGAACGGUGUUUGGUUCGUCGCUCGGUUUAAAGCGUUGUUCACGGCAAAUUCAGCCAAGGGUAAUGCUUCAUCCCACGAUCGUGGUUCUGUAGCGCAAUAACUGCGAAGCAUGUCUCCCAGGACUCGGUUCAUCCGUUCGUUUGUCCAUCCGUCUCAGGGUGGAAAGCUGUGGAGAGAUUAGGAUCGAUUUCAAUCAUUCGUGCCAGGUUUUGCCAGAAGUGACCGGCAAAUUGAGAUCCACGGUCCGAGACCGUUUGUUUUGGCACGCCGUGCAACCGGAUCACGUUUUGAAGGAAGAGUUUAGCGGUUUUUUCGGCGGUGAUACUUUUCCGUACUGGGACAAAGUGCGCCAUUUUCGUCAAACGGUCGACGAAGACCAAGAUCGCGUUGAACUGGCGAGCCGUACAGGGCAAGCCGAUUACGAAAUCCAUGGAGACACUAUCCCACGGCAUUUCGGGGAUUGGUAAGGGUUGUAACAAGCCAAUCUUCUUGCCUGUACGGCUUUUGUUACGUUGGCACUUGUCGCAGGUAAGGACAACUUGUCGCACAUCCGCGGCACAAUUGGGCCACCAAUGAGUACAAGUUCCAACGUGCGGUGAACUCCCGGGUGUCCGGCCAAGGGGUCACCAUGGCAACGGUUUAUGAAUUCCUUGCGGAGAUCGCCGUGAUUGGGCACCGCAACACGUUUCUUGCCAUCAGGAAGAGUUUUGAGCCAAAAGCCCUCUUGCGUUCUUUCCCGGUUCGCAAGGUUCUCAGGGUUUUGGAACCACGGGUCCUUCUCGUAUCCGGUCAGGAUGCGAGCCCGCAGGGUUUGCCGCGUUUGCAUGCGCGUCACUGCAUUCAGCAGCGGAUGUCGGCUCAGUGCGUCAGCAACGUUAGUUUUACCGCUUCGGUGUUCCCAAUGAAGGUGAAAACGGGAAAGGAACUCAAGCCAUCGAGCUUGACGACGAUUCAGCGUCGGUUGCGUCUUUAGGUAGAUCAGGGGGUGAUGAUCGGUGAUGAUCGGUCACGACUCUCAUCAUGUGGACCUUCCAGGUAGCAGCGCCAAGUGCGUGUAUUACACCAAGUAGUUCCUGCUCACUCGUGGUAUAGUUCCGCUCCCCAGGAGUGAACUUUUUACUGGUGAAGGCGAUGGGUUUUCCGUCCUGCAGUAGGACUGCACCCGUACCGCGUAAGGACGCGUCCGAGAUCAAUUCGAACGUAAAAGGCUUAGUCAUGUUUUGGUACCGUAGCAGUACAUCGUCUGCUAACGCAUUUUUCACCAUUUCAAAGGCGUGUACCCGUGGUGGAGUCCAAUCCUCAGGACGGACUUGACCUUUUCCACGUAACAUAUCCGUGAGAGGAGCCGAAAGCGAAGCAUACGCUUUAACGAACUUCCGGAAAUAGUUCGUAAGGCCCAAGAACUGCCGUAACUCGGACACGUUCUGUGGCAGUGGCCAUUCACGGACAGCCUUCACCUUCUUAGGGUCCAUGCGAACUCCUUCGGCACUAACAAUGUGACCGAGGUACUCAAGCUGAGUUUGCGCCCAGUGGCAUUUGGACGACUUUGCAUGAAACCGUGUUUUCCCGUGUGUUCCCGUCGUAGCACUUCGAACACGGUUUCAAGGUGUUUUAGAUGCUUCACGACUUCGGGAAUACACCAGGAUAUCAUCCAGGUAAACCACGACAAACUUGCCGAGGUAGGGCUGAAAGAUUCGGUUCAUCACCACUUGGAACGUGGCAGGGGCAUUAGUCAGCCCAAAAGGUGGGACAACAUAUUUAUAGUGUCCCAGGGGAGUACGAAACGCUGUCAGCGGUACAUCCUCUGCUCGAAUCUUUAUUUGAUGGUAUCCCUGUUGUAAGUCAAUGGAGGAGUAGAUCACACUACCUCCCAGACUAUCCACCAAAUCAUCUAUCCGCGGCAACGGAUACCGGUUUUUAACCGUUUGUGCGUUCAGCCCUCGAUAAUCCACCACCAUGCGUAACGUUCCGUCCUUCUUUCCCACGAAGAGGAUCGGAGCUGCCCAUGGAGAUGCGCUAGGGCGAAUCAUCCCCUUUUGCAUCAGGUCAGUUACUUGACGUUUCACCUCCUCCAGCUCAGCGGGAGUCAACCGAUAUAAUGGGCGAGAUACCGGUGUUGCACCUGGUUGCAACGGAAUGGUAUGUUCCACGGGUCUAUCUGGUGGUGGCCCCUUCAGGUCCUGAAAGAUCAUUUCGUAUUUUGCAAUCAGUGCUCUGAACUCCGGGUCUAGCGUUUGCUCAGUAGCGUUGAUUGUGCGCGGUAUUCCAGCCUGUGGGGACUCCGGGUCUUGCGUUUGUCCAACACUGGUGGCGCGCUGCGAUUCAGGCAAUGCAACGGGCUCCGGGUUUUUCGUCUGUCCGGCAUUGACUGCGGCAGCGGUAACCGCUUCAUGCCACCGCCGGUUGGCUGACUCUGCGCUUCACCCGCUUUUGUUUGCGCUUGAGCCGCUGCCUGUUUCAGUACGGCUUCAGCUCGUACUAGUGGUCGGACGAGCAAAGAAUGCGCCCCCUUGCGCAUAAGGCUUUUCGCUUCCUUGCGAGUAGCCGUUUUGACGCUUGCUCGAUUCAUGAACGAAGCGAUUACGUGGUGAACUUCAUGCUCCGUAGGUACCGUCGCGGACACCGUCCCUGGCGUAUCCUGCUGCUGCUGAGCUAUCCGACCAAAUUUGACACGGUAACUGAGGUCCCUUUUGCGAAAACGGACUUGACUUUUCUCAAAGUCCAGAUUCACCUUAUACCGUUCCAUGGUAUACGCGCCAACGAUCACGUCUGCCGUUGCCGUCAGGUUGGGCAGUAUCAGCGCAGGAACUUGAACCCGCAUUCGACCAAGCUUCAGCCUUAGCAAGGCCUGGCCGAGGAUAGGUGUAUUACUUCCGUCGUAUGUAAUGUAAUGUAAUGUGUAAUGUUACAGAGUGGGAGGCUUCUGGGCCGCUUUAUCACAUUGUCAGUUCUAGAUCAUUUAUCACCUUAUAGCACCAUCCACCACUACCACACUGUACUUCGCCAUACGAACUGCAAGUCCAAGGCGGCGGAUCCAGCCUUCAGGGACCCCUCCUCAUCCAUUCACCCGAACAUCCGAAGAGACAGAGGGUUCGGCAAUCGCCACCAAUCCAGCGUGCGAAUCUGGUCCAUCAACUGUGACCUCAACUCCACAUCUCAGCAGCUAGCCAUAAUCUCGCGCUCCCGACUAAUUCGGGGGUCUCCCCAGGAAUCGAACCCAGGACCUUAAACCGCGAAUCGCAGUAGUGUCAAUCCAGACCAGACCAGACAUCCAUGUGAAUGAGCGCGAGAGGCUGCGCUGCCUUAUGCCCAGAUAACGGAAAAGGACCACGUGUAUGCUUUGCAAGGACGCAAGUCUCACACACACACACGCUGGCUGAUGGUAUGCUGUGUCGGUCAACAUCGAACCCAGUUACCAUAUUGUGACGCAGCAACGCCUCAAGGUUGCUGUAUCCCAAGUGGCCAUACCGUCGGUGCCAAAGUCGGUGCCAACGUUCAGCUCCGAUACCCACGGCAGCACACACAGCAUCACCAUCUGUUGUCUUCACGCUACGUCCACUUCAGAGCGCCCGUACCUCCACUGCUGUAGCAGACGGGAUACAAGUCCCCAUCCCGCUUUCCAGUCAGCACCAUCUGGUUCUGUAUGUAUACUUUCACCUGUCCGCCGCCGAAGACCACACUGCCUCCACGAUCAUCAAUGAUGCGGAACGAUAGGAUUUUGGCAGUGGCCUCCUCGUCGACGUAGACCUUCUUAAAAGUGAUGGCCUGUUUAUCGUUGACGUUAGACCGAAUCAUAAGCGUGCCAACUUCAGUCGGCCGAAGAGACUGUCCCUUGAUGCCCAUGAUGUUGAAGUGCUCCCAUGGCUCCAACAACCGCACGUUGAGAAGUUCUGAACGGUCAUACGUUAUGUGAUGAGUGGCGGCUGAGUCCAGGAACCACCCCGUCGGACGCUCACCGUUGUAAGCUGUGAACGCAACCUGCCGCGGGAAUCCUGAUCCCCUUCCAGACCCACCGGGCCCAGGCUUGCUGCCGCUAGCUCCGCUGCCGUGAUAGGCGAUGCCUCGGCCCUGCCUCGACCUUGCCUAGGCCGUGCCUCGACCUUGCCUCGACCGUGCCUCGACCUUGCCUCGGAUCUCUCGGCCGCGUAUCUCGGACGUGUCCUCAGGUCCAGGGAUGGUGGACGACUGUACGAUACUUACGUUGGUAUCGGUACAUAAGACCAAAGUGGUGCAUGUCUUUCUAUCUCAUCUUCGGAUGGAUCGGUAUUCCUUCAUAGGAAUCUCCUAAAGUCUUCUUGCCGUUCACCACUAACCCACAGACUGUAACCCUUAUAUCGCGACCAGUCUCCUUGCCUUCAUAUUCUUAACAGGUUAUGAGCCCCGGCUCACGCUAGCAGCAUCUACCUCUAAUACUCGUAUUCCACAAUGGGGAAGGGCAAGCUUGACGAGCCUCUGCACUUGAACAACUACGCCACCUGGCAAAUUCGGUUCAGCACGCUGUGUAUGGAGCUUGGGCUUCAGCAGUCCUUGCUCGCCGAGCCGGGAAACGAGGAGCAGAUUCGACAAUCUCGUAAGGUUAUCAACCUGCUCAUCAAGAAUGUUAAAGAUCACCAUUUGCCGAUGGUUACGGGUGCUGCGAACGCGAAGAGGGCAUGGGACGCUCUGGCCGCGAUGUUUGUCGCCAACAAUAACGCACGCAAGGUAGCUCUCCGUCAAGAGUUCAGCCGUUUUAAGAUGGUCGACGGCGAGCCGCUAUCCAAGUACUUAGGCUUGUUGGGAGUGGGGCACGUUAUCAGCGACUCGGAGCUGGCGUACACAUACACAGUGCUGGUUGGUUUGUCCAGCCGCUUCAGCAUGGUAACGACAUCCCUACUGGUGCAUGACGGCGAUUUGGACAUGGCUAUCGUCACCUCGAAGUUCUUGACUCUCGAGAUGGCAAGCGGUCGGUCUGGUACGCCUACCGAGUCGGCAGCUUAUGCUUCUGUCGGCGGUUUUUCGUUUGGCGCCUCUGGUUCUGGUCUUGAAAAUCGUGGCGCGGCCAGCAGCAGUUCUGGCGUUCCUCCCAAAGAGGUGACUUCCUUCUAUUGCAGCGAACCUGGGCCCGGUGGGUCUAGCAAGGGAUCAGUUUUCCCGAGGCAGGUUGCGUUUGUAGCUUACAAGAGUAAGCAUCUAAGGGAUCCUGGUCGAAUAUGGGAAUGGAGGACAGCAUCGUGUGCUGUACAAGGAUGGCAUCAUCGCCGUGGUCUCCAACGUCCGCUUUGACGGGUUUGCCGUGGUCUCCGCUUUGACGAGUUUAGUGUCGGUCAGCGGCAUAGUGCCUGUUGAGGAAACGGUCCUCUCCCAACUCGUGUGGUUGUCGACCAGGGGAUUUGACCCCGGGUCUGCGCCUGACUAAUGGGGAAGACUUACCCCAGAACCUUAUGGGGCUACCGAUGCAUAUCCGGUAGCUAAGUGAUAGACAUUAGGGCACCGUCUGGAAGGCGCAGUGAGAUCACGGAAUGUACGUGCAGCUAGAUCGCGGAAUGUACGAGUUUUCCGCUAGCGCCGGUAUUUAGGGCGGUGACUGCGCCUAAUAGUUUAUCUCACAACGAUCGGUAUUCCUACCAGGAAUCUCCUCAAGUCCUGCCGAACGCUAACAAUACUCUUUACAUUACUUGUAACAAGUUUAUCGUGCUAAAUAUCUUCGCCACCGGCAAUCCUUCCGGAAUAACAAUCAGCGUUAGCCGUCACCGUCGCCAAUUCUUCAAUAGUGCCAAGGAUUCCGAUGAUGGGUCCGAUGCCGACGAGGGUUGUGUUCCUUGAGGGGUCGCUGCCUAAGGCUGCCGAAUGGACAUCAGGCAAUCGCCGCCUUUGUGUGGCGAGGGGGCGCUGGCUGGGGCUGGACCUCCCAGAAGUGUGAAUGUGCAAGGAAAUACACACCCUGAUGUGGAAAUGCUGGGGGCUCGGUAUUCAGUUAGGGAAUGCAAACGUCCUAGCGAGUGGUUACGGAGUGUACCUGGUCGUAGUGCUACAGGCCGAGUCAUUGCUGCAGUAUCUGCUGGGAUUCAGAGCCUAACGUUUAUGCCGAACCCAUCUCAGGCCCACAUGCAGACGACUGGCGGCCGUGAGUGCCGUGAAUAUUUUGUAUCCAGUCGACCCAACUGGACAGCGUGGAUUGCAGCAGGCGAUCAUUUGCUGCAACUACCAACAAACGGGCCGUAUAGCUCGGAGUUGCAGAGAGAGCCGCAGCCUAACGUGCAAGGAGUGGAGGUGGUCUUGCCGACUACACGUGGCAGGUGGGGUAGCAUGCCUCAACAGACAGGCGGCGGCAAUGCAGUGAUGCCGUGUAUGUUUUUGCUGCAAGAUACGAACCACUAUAAGUUGUCUGACAUCGAAGCGGCUAGUACCGGUGUACCUGAGUCAGGGCCUUUGCCAGCGGCAAGCCAGCGCAGGAGUUCAGAAGACGAGGGCAGGGAAUAUGAGGAUAUAUCGUGGCCCUUGGAGUGGUGGUGUGAUGAUGCAGGAUGCAGGAUAGGACGUCACAUUCACGUGGCUGUCACUGAUCCGAACCCUGCUGAACUUUUGCUGAGUAAUACUUUCACUGAAGCCAUUUCAGGAGCAAAUGCAAAUGAGUGGCGCAGAGGGAUGGUCGAGCAGAUUGCUGCAUUAGCAGCUAACGGCACUUGUGAGCUGUGUGCACAGCCUCUUGAUGUGCUAAUGUACCGGUGGUUGUACAAGUUAAAAUGUGUGGAAGGUGACACUAUCAAGCGCUUUUUUGCAUGGCUAGGUGCAAAGAUGUACGAGAAGUACGAGAACUUGGAGCGAGCGCAGGUGUUAUCAUCGGGCAUGGAAAUACUGAGGAUGAAGCCGGCUGAAUUAGUGUUGUCGCAAUAUUGAGCAGCUAUUGGAGCGUCACCAGACGGUUAACGCCAAGCCACGGUCUACCCCUUUGCCUCCGCGUUUUAGGUGCACACCUACGGGGGAUAGAGAUGAGCUGCUGGAUCCCACGGAGUAUAGCGUUUUGGUAGGAAAGUUGAACUACCUAGCGACGAACACGCGGCCUGACAUUUCUUAUGCAUUGAGUGUUUUGUCCCGGCAUAUGGCCACACCUACGAAGAGUGCCAUGAACUUGGCAACUGGUGCUCUGCGUUACCUGGCGGGUACUCGCGAACUAGGAUUGCGUUUUGGGGGUGUUGGCGACAUUGAGAUGUCUGGGUAUAGCGAUUCUGACUGGGCAGGAGACCCAGUUACGCAGCGUUCUACGUCCGGUUACGUAUUCACUCUUAAUGGGGCUGAGAUUAGCUGGAGCAGCCAACUUCAACGUACUGUGGCGGCUUCGUCGUUGGAGGCCGAGUACCAAGCUACAGCGGCGGCUGUUCGUGAAGCUUUGUGGCUUCGCAAGCUGAUGGUCGAUUUGGGCUUGCCUGAUAGCGCGGUGAAAAUCCAGAUAGACUCCCAGGGGGCGCUUAGCUUGGGAAAUAAUCCGAUUACGUCUGCUCGGUCGAAGCACAUCGACGUGCAGCACCACAUAGUGCGUGAGAGGGUGAAUGAGGGGAGGUGCAGUUGGAGUACUGCCCUACAGAGUGGAUGGUAGCGGAUGCGCUCACGAAGGCACUGGGAGAAGUGAAGUUCAAACAGUGCAGAGAAGCUAUGGGCGUUGUGUGAAGUGCCCAUUGGCGGGGCAAAUGUGCUGCUGCGAGUUGGGAUAUGUCCCGAGGGGGCGUGUUGAAGGACGGUCCUAUCCCAACGUAGAUAGGUGGUAGUUAGGCGAUGAAUCCGCCGUGAUAGGCGAUGCCUCGGCCGUGCCUCGACCUUGCCUAGGCCGUGCCUCAACCUUGCCUCGGCCGUGCCUCGACCUUGCCUCGGGUCUCUCGGCCGCAUAUCUCGGUCGUGUCCUCAGGUCCAGGGAUGGUGGAAGACUGUACAAUACUUCCGUUGGUAUCGGUACAUAAGGCAAAAGUUAAGCAAGUCUUUCUAUCUCAUCUUCGGAUGGAUCGGUAUUUCUUCAUAGGAAUCUCCUAAAGUCUUCUUGCCGUUCACCACUAACCCACAGACUGUAACCCUUAUAUCGCGACCAGUCUCCUUGCCUUCAUAUUCUUAACAGGUUAUGAGCCCCGGCUCACGCUAGUAGCUUACAUAGCUAACGCAAAGAAGGCAUAGCACGCCUGCAAGCAACUACAGUCGGACUUAAUUGGGAGUAGGACACGUUAUCAGCGAUUCUGAGCGGGCACACACUUUGCUUGUUGGUUUGCCCAGCCGCUUCAGCAUGGUAACGACAUCCCUACUGGUGCGUGACAGCGAUUCGGACAUGGCUAUCGUCACCUCGAAGUUCUUGACUCUCGAGAUGGCAAGCGGUGGGUCUGGUACGCCUACCGAGUCGGCAGCUUAUGCUUCUGUCGGCAGUUUUUCGUUUGGCGCCUCUGGUCUUGGGAAUCGUGGCGCAGCCAGCAACAGUUCUGGCGUUCCUCUCAAAGAGGUGAUUUGCUUCUAUUUCAGCAAGCCUGGGCCCGGUGGGUCUAGCAAGGGAUCAGUUUUCCCGAGGCAGGUUGCGUUUGUAGCUUACAAGAGUAAGCAUCUAAGGGAUCCUGGUCGAAUAUGUGAAUGGAGGACAGCAUCGUCUGAUGUACAAGGACGGCAUCAUCGCCGUGGUCUCCAACGUCCGCUUUGAUGAGUUUGCCGUGGUCUCCAUUGUCCGCUUUGAUGAAGUUUAGUGUCGGCCGGCGGCUUAUGCCAGCGCACGAGUACAGAAGACGAGGGCAGGGAAUAUGAGCCAUCGGAGUGGUGGCAUGGUGUUGCAGGAAGGAGGAUAGGUCGUAUUAACGUCGUAUUAACGUGGCUGUCACUGAUCCGUACCCUGCUGAACGUUUGGUGAGUAAUACUUUCACUGAAGCCAUUUCAGGUGCAAGUGUAAAUGAGGGGCGCAGAGUGAUGGUCGAGGAGAUUGCUGCAUUAGCAGCUAACGGCACUUGUGAGCUGUGUGCACAGCCUCUUGAUGUGCCAAUGUACCGGUGGUUGUACAAGUUAAAAAGAGUGGAAGGUGACACGGUCAAGCGCUCUUUUGCAUGGCUAGUUGCAAAGAUGUACGAAUAGUACGACACCUUGGAGAAGCGAAGGUGUUUUUGGGCAUGGAGAUUAGGAGGGAGAAGUCGGGUGAGAUAUUGUUGUCGCAGCAUAGGUAUAUUGAGCAGCUGUUGGAGCGUCAUAGGAUGGUUGACGCCAAGACACGGUCUACCCCUUUGCCUCCGGGUUUUAGGUGCACACCUACGGGGGAUACAGAUGAGCUGCUGGAUAAUCCCACGGAAUAUAGGGCUUUGGUGGGAAAGUUGAACUACCUAGCGACGAACACACGGCCGGACAUUUCUUAUGCAUUGAGUGUUUUGUCCCGGCAUAUGGCCACACCUACGAAGAGUGCCAUGAACUUAGUUAACAAGGUCUGCGUUACCUGGCGGUUACUCGCGAGCUAGGAUUGCGUUUUGGGGGUGUUGGCGGUGUUGCAAUGUCCGGGUACAGCGAUUCGGACUGGGCAGGAGACCCAGUUACGCGGCGUUCUACGUCCGGUUAUGUAUUCACUCUUAAUGGGGCUGCGAUUAGCUGGAGCAGCCAACUUCAACGUACUGUGGCGGCUUCGUCGUUGGAGGCCGAGUACCAAGCUACAGCGGCGGCUGUUCGUGAAGCUUUGUGGCUUCGCAAGCUGAUGGUCGAUUUGGGCUUGCCUGAGAGCUCGGUGAAAAUCCAGAUAGACUCCCAGGGGGCGCUUAGCUUGGGAAAUAAUCCGAUUACGUCUGCUCGGUCGAAACACAUCGACGUGCAGCACCACAUAGUGCGUGAGAGGGUGAAUAGCGGGGGGGUGCAGUUGGAGUGUUCCUUGAGUAUUCCUUCAUAGGAAUCUCCUAAAGUCUUCUUGCCCUUCACCACUAACCCACAGACUGUAACCCUUAUAUCGCGACCAGUCUCCUUGCCUUCAUAUUCUUAACAGAAAUGGACAACUGCUUUAGUGCCUUCAACUUCCUGCAGUCCUUAAUCCGGGAGUUUUGCAAUUGUGACAAAACAAAUGUUUGGGGGGACCGCCAGAACUACUGCUGGCCGCGCCGUGAUUCCUAAGACCAGAACCAGAGGCGCCAAACGUGAGACCGCCGACAGAAGCAAAAGCUGCUGACUCGGUAGGCUUGACCCACUGCUUGCCACCUCGAUAGCCAAAAGAUUGGAGGUGACGCUCGCAAUGUCCAAAUCGCCAUCACGCUGUUAAGACCAGCAAAGCGCCGGACCCCCGUUGGGUCCUAUUACUGUGGCUACCAUUCACUGGUACAUGAGUGUCGGUCAUUUCCAACACCCCCCCGUGAGCGACACUCUCUCGCUCCGGGCCUUCCCGUGCCUCAUCCCGGUCUCCCAUUCUCUGGGCAACAGCCAAUGGGUAUCGAUCCGGCGACCUCUCGGCAAAAAUGCGCCAUUCGGGGCUCAUAACCUAUUGGAGAAAUGGCGACGGUGACGGCUAACGCUGAUUGUUAUCUGGGAAGAAUUGCCGGUGGCGAAGAUAUUUAGCACGAUAAAAUGUUACAAGUUAUGUAAAGAGUAUUAUUAGCGUUCGGCAGGACUUGAGGAGAUUCCUUUGAGGAAUACCGAUCGUUGUGAGAUAAACAAAUAAGCGCAGUCACCGCCCUAAAUACCGGCGCUAGCGGAAAACUCGUACAUUCCGCGAUCUAACUGCACGUACAUUCCGCGAUCUCACUGCGCCGUCCUGACGGUGCCCAAUGUCUAUCACUUAGCUACCGGAUAUGCAUCGGUAGCCCAUAAGGUUCUGGGGUAAGUCUUCCCCAUUAGUCAGGCGCAGAUCCGGGGUCAAAUCCCCUGGUCGACAACCACACGAGUUGGGAGAUGACCGUUUCCUCACCUAUUGGUCUUGAUACCACGCCCCCUCGGGCCGUAUCCCAACGAGUACCAAGUUCAUCUGCACACUUCACACAAGGCCCAUCGCAUCUCGGCAACGUUUGAACUUCACCUCGCCCAGAGCCUUCGUUAGCACAUCCGCAACCAUCCACUCCGUAGGGCAGUAUUCCAACUGCACCUCACCACUAUUCACCCUCUCACGCACUAUGUGAUGCUGCACGUCGAUGUGCUUCGACCGAGCAGACGUAAUCGGGUUAUUUCCCAAGCUAAGCGCCCCCUGGGAAUCUAUUUGGAUUCUGAUAGCGCUCUCAGGCAAACCCAAAUCAACCAUCAGCUUGCGAAGCCACAAAGCCUCGCAAACAGCUGCUGCUGUCGCUUGAUACUCGGCCUCCACCGACGAAGCCGCCACAGUACGUUGAAGUUGGCUGCUCCAGCUAAUCGCAGCCCCAUUAAGAGUGAAAACGUAGCCGGACGUAGAACGCUGCGUAACUGGGUCUCCUGCCCAGUCAGAAUCGCUAUACCCAGACAUCUCAAUGUCGCCAACACCCCCAAAACGCAAUCCUAGUUCGCGAGUCCCCGCCAGGUAACGCAGAACGCCGAUUGCUAAGUUCAUGGCAGUCUUCGUAGGUGCGGCCAUAUGCCGGGACAAAACGCUCAAUGCAUAUGAAAUGUCAGGCCGCGUGUUCGUCGCCAGAUAGUUCAAUUCUCCCACCAAAGCCCUAUACUCGGUGGGAUUGCCCAGCAGCUCCUCUCCGUCCCCCUUAGGAGUGUACCUAAAGCCCGGAGGCAAAGGGGUAGACCUCGGCUUGGCGUCAAUCAUCCUAUGACGACCUUCGCUUCUCCAAGGUCGCGCACCUUGAAGACCUUCGCAAUUGCGGCUUUAAUUGCCCGGACCAUUUCCGGGUCUUCCGACGCAACAAUAGUGUCAUCUACGUGCACCAAAGCAAUAACAACCCCACGCUCGUCAGUCUUAACGAACAUCGCCGGAUCAGACUUCGAAGGAUAAAGACCCAACUUGGCGAACUCUGCUGAUAGUUUUUCAUACCAGCAACGGGGUGCCUGCUUUAAACCGUAAAUAGACUUCUGCAGCUUGCACGCAAGCGACCGGUCACUGGAUGCAUACCCAGGCGGUUGCUCCAUCCACAACUCCUCCUUCAGCUCACCAUUCAGAAACGCAGUAGACACAUCGAGCUGAUGUACCGUCAUGUUCCGGGCUGCGGCAACUUCUAAUAAAGCACGCAAUGACGAACCACGAGAGGUAGGGGCAAACAACUCGGCGGCUGGCAGAAGUUAAGGCCUGGCUUCUGCUCCCGUCGCGUCCCGGCGCGUCCGGGUUCAAAUCCGCCUGCCGACCUCUCGGGGUGUUUGAGAGGUGAUGAAAUGGGAGGUGGCCCCCCAUCUUGUGGACGAUGUAGGACGUGAUAAAAUCAACUCGCGAGCUGACCAGGAAUUAAGUUGACGCGCCGUUGAUCCGCUAGAUUUGGUUGGAUGCUGGUGGUGAGUUGCCAAACUCAAAGAGUACACUCUGAAGUCGGAUGGGGUGAAUGGCUUAGGGUGCCCCUCUAGCAGGGGAGAGCAGGGAAUUGCCUCGGGAAGGAGGCCACUGGUGAAGCUUAACCACCCUGUAACAACAUCAACUCCCCAUAAUCAAUCCCCUCGCGUUGCUCGAAACCCUUGGCAACUAAACGCGCCUUAAAACGCUCCACGCUGCCGUCAUCGCUGUACUUAACCUUAUAUACCCAACGACACGGCAACAAACGAGUACCAGGAGGUGGCUUCUUCAACUCCCAAGUACUAUUAGCCAUCUGGGCGGCGAUCUCCUCGUCCAUCGCACGCCGCCAGUCGUCUGCAUGUGCACUCGCAAUGGCUUCCGCAAAAGAAUUCGGUUCGGGAAUAUCAGUAGAGAAAGCAGCGUUAACGCGACCAGUAACAGUGCGACCAGGUUCAUUUCGCCACCAUUCGCCAGGGCGUUUACGCUCUCUAACUGGGUACCUAGUUCCCGCCAUUUCCACAUCAGGCUGAUUGAUUCCUUGCCCGUUCGCACUGCUGGAAGGUCCAGCCCCAGCCGGCGCCCCCUCGCCACCCAAAUGCGGCGAUCCCUCGCCGACGGUGCUACCUGGUGUCCCUUCGCCAGCCCUAGGCAGCGAUCCCUCACCAGAUAAACUAGUGCGAAACUCCCCUCUUCGUGGGCAUCGACUUAUAUCGGAGUCCCCGGCAUUACGCCGCCGCCGGACAUUAAGAUUCAUCGAAACGAACGUUAGAAACUAUGGCAAUAAUGCCGUCCACGUAUAGCACACGAUAUUGUCUUCCGUUCCCGUAUCCAACAAGUAUUCCAGGCCUGCUCACCGGGUCGAACUUGUCGCGCUUGACGUCGGGUACGUGGACGUAGGCAACGCAUCCUAAGACUCGCAUGUGACUGACGUUCGGACGAACAUUAAAGAAAGCUUCGUACGGAGUGACGGUUGACCCAGCAGUUGGCGACACAUUCCUAAGAUAGUUGGCUGUCGCUAACGCCUCUGCCCAUAAUGAUUUAGGCAGUCCAGAUUCAACGAGCAUAGCCCUAGUCUUGUCCAAAAGAGUGCGAUUUAAACGUUCCGCAGCUCCGUUCUGCUCAGGGGUGUAGCCUACCGUGUACAAUACCCCUGGAAGCGAAAUAGCCCUUCGUGCGAGUAUUAACGAACUCCCCGCCACGAUCUGUACGCACCUCCUUAACCUGCCUGCCAGUAGCGCGCUCCAGUUCCGCUAUCAUUACCACCAUCUUCUGGUAGACCUCCUCCUUGGUCGCUGUAAACGCAACAGCUGAAAGACCAGUAUGAUCGUCAAGCAGAGUUGUCACGUAACGCGAACCACUAGGCGAAGGUUCAGGCAUAGGUCCACACACAUCCAUGUGAAUGAGUGCGAGAGGCUGCGCUGCCUUAUGCCCAGUUAGCGGAAAAGGACCACGUGUAUGCUUAGCAAAGACGCAAGUCUCACACACACACGCGCUGGCUGAUUGUAUGCUGUGUCGGUCAACAUCGAAUCCAGCUACCAUAUCAUGACGCAGCAGCGCCUCAAGGUUGCUGUAUCCUAAGUGGCCAUACCUUCGGUGCCAAAGUGCUGCACGUUCAGCUCCGAUACCAACGGCAGCACACACUGCAUCACCACCAGAAGGUAUCCUGUUGUCUUAACGCUGCGUCCACUUCAGAGCGCCAGUACCUCCACUGCUGUAGUAGACGGGAUACAAGUCCCCAUCCCGCUUUCCAGUCAGCACCAACUGAUUCUGGAUGCCACGAACGCUACCUGCCGCGGAACUCCUGGUCCCCUAGCUGAUCUACCGGAUCCUGGCUUGCUGCCGCUAGCUCCGCUGCCACUAGCUCCGCUGCCACUAGCUCCGCUGCCACUGUUGUUGUAGCCACCCUUAUAUCCAGAAUUUGACGACUGCUUCAGCGCUUUAAGCUGCCUGCAGUCCCUUACCACGUGCCCAGGCUUAUUACAGUAGUAGCAGAUGAGUUGCUUCCGACUGUGUCCCGAGCUGUUGUUAGCCGGCCCCCGGCUACCAUAACCAGAAGUAGAAGCGCCGAACGUAGAUCCGCCGACAGACGCGAAGGCUGCCGACUCGGUAGGCUUGCCCGACCCACCGUUAGCCGUCUCGAUAGAGAGAAGCUUUGCUGUGACGCUCGCCAUGUCCAAAUCGCCGUCACGCAUUAGUAAUGUAGUCGUCACCACGCUGUACCGACUGGGUAGACCAACCAGGACGGUGUACGUGUCGUUAAUUACGUGGCCGACUCCCAAUAAAUCUGUUUGCAGCUGCCUUGCACGCGCAAAGUACAUCGGAAGAGGUUCGCCGUCGACCAUCUUAAAACGGCUGAAUUCUUGACGUAGAGAAACCUUGCGGGCGUUGUUGUUGGCAGCAAACCUGGAACUAAGUUGAUGCGCCGUUGAUCCGCUAGAUUUGGUUGGAUGCUGGUGGUGAGUUGCCGAACCCAACGAAUACAUUCUGAAGUCGGAUGGGGUGACGGAUUAGGGUGCCCCUCUAGCAGGGGAGAGCAGGGACUGCCCCGGGAAAGGGGGCCGCUGGCGAAGUUAACCACCCUGUAACAACAUAGAGCCCAAGGCGUCCCAGGCCUUCUUCGCGUUGGCAGCACCGGUAACCAUUGGCAAGUGGUGAUCCUUGACGUUCUUGAUAAGCAGAUUGAUGACCUUUCGUGAUUGUCGAAUCUGCUCCUCGUUGCACGGCUCGGCGAGCAAGGAUUGCUCAAGCCCAAGCUCCAUGCACAUCGCGCUAAACCGGAUUUGCCAGGUGGAGUAGUUGUGGAGGUCCAGCGGCUCAUCAAGCUUGUCCUUGACCAUUGUUGAUUAGGGAUAGAAAUAACAAUCAGACGAUAGCUGUCGGCGCUAGGCGGGGCUCAUAACCUAUUGGAGACCAGCAGGGACGUCGUUACCAUGUUGAAGCGGCUGGGUAGACCAACCAGCACUGCGUACGCCAGCUCCGAGUCGCUGAUAACGUGCCCCACUCCCAACAAGUGUGACUGUAAUUGCCGUGCACGUGCAAAGUACUUGGGUAGCGGCUCGCCGUCGACCAUCUUGAAACGGCUGUACUCUUGACGGAGAGCUACCUUGCGUGCGUUAUUGUUGGCGACAAACAUCGCGGCCAAAGCUUCCCAUGCUUCCCAUUCGCGUUCACAGCACCCGUAACCAUCGGCAAAUCUUUAACAUUCUUGAUGAGCAGGUUGAUAACCUCACGAGAUUGUCGAAUCUGUUCCUCGUUUCCCGGCUCGGCGAGCAAGGACUGCUCAAGCCCAAGCUCCAUACACAGCGUGCUGAACCGAAUUUGCCAGGUGGCGUAGUUGUUCAAGUCUAGAGGCUCGUCAAGCUUGUCCUUCCCCAUUGUGGAAUACGAGUAUGAAGGUAGAUGCUGCUAGCGUUAGCCGGGGCUCAUAACCUGUUAAAAAUAUGAAGGAGGCAAGGAGAAUGGUCGCGAUAUAAGUAUUACAGUCGGUAGGUGAGUGGUGAACGGCAGAAAGACUUUAGGAGAUUCCUACUAAGGAAUACCGAUCCAUACAAAGAUGAGAUACCAAGACUUGCAUAACUUGUGUCUUAUAUACCAGUACCAAUGGAAGUAUCGUUCAGUCGCCCACCAUCUAUCUAUCGUACAGUCGCCACCAUCUAUCGGAUUCAUCGCCUAUCUACCACCUAUCUACGUUGGGAUAGGACCAGGAUUCCAAAGGCUGAUUUCAUUCAUGGCAUACGGUGAGCAUCCGAUGGUUUCUGGACUCAGCAUUAAUGCAUCACAUCACCCCUGACCCCUCUGAGUUAUUUAACGUGUCUUUGUGUUGCAAAUGACCGACACUCAUAUACCAGUGAAUGGUAGCCGNNNNNNNNNNNNNNNNNNNNNNNNNNNNNNNNNNNNNNNNNNNNNNNNNNNCCAUUCACUGGUAUAUGAGUGUCGGUCAUUUGCAACACAAAGAGGCACACAACACACUGGGGGUUGGAGCAGUGGGAGCACUUCAAUAUCAUGGGCAUCAAGGGUCAAGCUUUGCAUCCAAUUGCAACGGUGGUCGGCUCACUCAUUAUUCCAGCCAACAUCAACGACAAACAGGCCAUUUCUUUCAAUAAGGUCUACUUUGGUGAGGAGGCAACAGUCAAGGUCUUGUCAGUUCCACGCACCAUCAAUGUAUUGGAGAAUUGGCGACGGUGACGGCUGACGCUUGUUGUUAUUCCGGAAGGAUUGCCGGCGGCGAAGAUAUUGAACACGAUAAACUGUUACAAGUAAUAUAAGGAGUAAUAGUAUGCGUUUGGCAGGACUUUAGGAGAUUCCGUUUGAGGAAUACCGAUCGUUGUGAGAUAAAGAAAUAAGCGCAGUCACCGCCCUAAAUACCGGUGCUAGCGGAAAACUCGUACAUUCCGCGAUCUCACUGCACGUACAUUCCGCAAUCUCACUGCGCCGUCCUGACGGUGCCCAAAUGUCUAUCACUUAGCUACCGAAUAUGCAUCGGUAGCCCCAUAAAGUUCUGGGGUAAGUCUUCCCCAAUAGUCAGGCACAGACCCGGGGCCAAAUCCCCUGGUCGACAACCACACGAGUUGGGAGAGGACCGUUUCCUCAACACGCCCCCUCGGGCCGUAUCCCAACGAGUACCAAGUUCAUCAGCACGCUUCACACAAGGCCCAUCGCACCUCGGCAACGUUUGAAUUUCACCUCGCCCAGAGCUUUCGUGAGCACAUCCGCAACCAUCCACUCCGUAGGGCAGUAUUCCAACUGCACCUCACCGCUAUUCACCCUCUCACGCACUAUGUGAAGCUGUACGUCGAUGUGCUUCGACCGAGCAGACGUAAUCGGGUUAUUUCCUAAGCUAAGCGCCCCCUGGGAAUCUAUUUGAAUCUUGAUAGCGCUCUCAGGCAAACCCAAAACGACCAUCAGCCUGUGAAGCCACAAAGCUUCACGAACAGCUGCCGCUGUAGCUUGAUACUCGGCCUCCACCGACGAAGCCGCCACAGUACGUUGAAGUUGACUGCACCAGCUAAUCGCAGCCCCAUUUAGAGUAAAAACGUAUCAGGAAGUAGAAUGCCGUGUAAACGGGUCUCCUGCCCAGUCAGAAUCGCUAUACCCAGACAUCUCAAUGUCGCCAACACCCCCAAAACGCAAUCCUAGUUCGCGAGUACCCGCCAGGUAACGCAGAAUGCCGGUUGCCAAGUUCAUGGCAGUCUUUGUAAGUGUGGCCAUAUGCCGGGACAAAAGACUCCAUGCAUAAGGAAUGUCAGGGCGAGUGUUAGUCGCUAGGUAGUCCAACUUUCCCACCAAAGCCCUAUGCACCAUGGGAUCCAGCAGCUCAUCUCUAUCCCCCGUGCACCUAAAACCCGGAGCCAAAGGGGUAGACCGUGGCUUGGCGUCCACCGUCUGGUGACGCUCCAAUAGCUGCUCAAUAUUGCGACAACACUAAUUCACCCGGCUUCAUCAUCAGUAUUUCCAUGCCCGAAAACACCUGCGCUUCUCCAAGUUCUCGUACUUCUCUUACAUCUUUGCACCUAGCCAUGCAAAAAAGCGCUUGACCUUCCACUCUUUUCAACUUGUACAACCACCGGUACAUUAGGACAUCAUGAGGCUGUGCACACAGCUCACAAGUGCCGUUAGCUGCCAAUGCAGCAAUCUCCUCGACCAUCACUCUGCGCCACUCAUUUGCAUUUGCACCUGAAAUGGCUUCAGUGAAAGUAUUACUCAGCAAAAAUUCAGCAGGGUACGGAUAAGUGACAGCCACGUUAAUGCGACCUACUAUCCUCCUUCCUGCAACACCAUGCCACCACUCCGAGGGCUAUAAUAUCUCCUCAUAUUCCCUGCCCUAUUCUUCUGAACUCCUGCGCUGGCUUGCACCACUAGAUGUUCCGGCUUCAUCCGGCAUUCCUUCACCAUCCACAGGUGACAGUGGUGCCUAGCCGACUGUGAGGCCCUGACUCAGGUACACCAAUACUAGCCGCUACAAAACUUUCACGGCACUCACGCCCGCCAGUCGUCUGCAUGUGGGCCUGAGAUGCCUUCGGCAUAAAUGUUAGGCUCUGAAUCCCAGCAGAUACUGCAGCAAUGACUCGGCCUGUAGCACUACGACCAGGUACACUCCGUCACCACUCGCCAGGCCGUUUGCAUUCCCUAACUGAAUACCGAGCCCCCAGCAUUUCCACAUCAGUGUGUGUGUUUCCUUCGACAUUCACACGUCUGGGAGGUCCAGCCCCAGCCAGCGCCCCUUCGUCACCCAAAUGCGGCGAUCCCUUGCUGACGGUAUUGCCUGAUGUUGCGAAUGAACAUUCGCUGUUGAGGAAACGGUCCUCUCCCAACUCGUGUGGUUGUCGACCAGGGGAUUUGACCCCGGGUCUGCACCUGACUAAUGUGGAAGACUUACCCCAGAACUUUAUGGGGCUACCGAUGCAUAUCCGGUAGCUAAGUGAUAGACAUUAGGGCACCGUCUGGACGGCGCAGUGAGAUCGCGGAAUGUACGUGCAGUUAGAUCGCGGAAUGUACGAGUUUUCCCCUAGCGCCGGUAUUUAGGGCGGUGACUGCGCCUAUUAGUUUAUCUCACAACGAUCGGUAUUCCUACCAGGAAUCUCCUCAAGUCCUGCCGAACGCUAACAAUACUCUUUACAUUACUUGUAACAGUUUAUCGUGUUUCAUAUCUUCGCCGCCGGCAAUUCUUCCGAGAUAACAAUCAGCGUUAGCCGUCACCGUCGCCAAUUCUUCAAUAGGUUAUGAGCCCCGCCUAGCGCCGACAGCUAUCGCCCAAUUGUUAUUUCUAUCCCUCAUCGACAAUGGUUAAGGACAAGCUUGAUGAGUCGCUGGACCUCAACAACUACUCUACCUGGCAAAUUCGGUUUAGCGCGAUGUGCAUGGAGCUUGGGCUUGAGCAAUCCCUGCUCGCCGAGCCGUGCAACGAGGAGCAAAUUCGACAGUCACGGAAGGUCAUCAAUCUGCUCAUCAAGAACGUCAAGGAUCAUCAUUUGCCGAUGGUUACCGGUGCUGCCUGUUAAGACCAGCAAAGCGCCGGACCCCCGUUGGGUCCUAUUACUGUGGCUACCAUUCACUGGUAUAUGAAUGUCGGUCAUUUCCAACACCCCCCCGUGAGCGACACUCUCUCGCUACGGGCCUUCCCGUGCCUCAUCCCGGUCUCCCAUUCUCUGGGCAACAGCCAGUGGGUAUCGAUCCGGCGACCUCUCGGCAGCGCAAUGCGCCAUUCGGGGCUCAUAACCUGUUAAGACCAGCAAAGCGCCGGACCCCCGUUGGGUCCUAUUACUGUGGCUACCAUUCACUGGUAUAUGAAUGUCGGUCAUUUCCAACACUGCCAACGCGAAGAAGGCCUGGGACGCCUUGGGAUCUAUGGGAUCUAUGUCUGCUCCCGUCGCGUCCCGGCGCGUCCGGGUUCAAAUCCGCCUGCCGACCUCUCGGGGUGUUUGAGAGGUGAUGAAAUGGGAGGUGGCCCCCCAUCUUAUGGACGGUGUAGGACGUGAUAAAAUCAACUCGCGAGCUGACCAGGAACUAAGUUGACGCGCCGUUGAUCCGCUAGAUUUGGUUGGAUGCUGGUGGUGAGUUGCCAAACUCAAAGAGUACACUCUGAAGUCGGAUGGGGUGAAUGGCUUAGGGUGCCCCUCUAGCAGGGGAGAGCAGGGAACUGCCUCGGGAAGGAGGCCACUGGUGAAGCUUAACCACCCUGUAACAACAUCAACAUCAACAACGCCCGGCGGGCGGCUGGCAGAGGUUAAGGCCUGGCUUCUGCUCCCGGCGCGUUACGGCACGUCCGGGUUCAAAUCCGCCUGCCGACCUCUCGGGGUGUUUGAGAGGUGUUGAAAUGGGAGGUGGCCCCCCAUCUUAUGGACGGUGUAGGACGUGAUAAAAUCAACUCGCGAGCUGACCAGGAACUAAGAUGACGCGCCGUUGAUCCGCUAGAUUUGGUUGGAUGCUGGUGGUGAGUUGCCAAACUCAAAGAGUACACUCUGAAGUCGGAUGGGGUGAAUGGCUUAGGGUGCCCCUCUAGCAGGGGAGAGCAGGGAACUGCCUCGGGAAGGAGGCCACUGGUGAAGCUUAACCACCCUGUAACAACAUCAACAACGCCCGCAAGGUGUCUCUACGUCAAGAAUUCAGCCGUUUUAAGAUGGUCGACGGCGAACCUCUCCCGAUGUACUUUGCGCGUGCAAGACAGCUGCAAACAGAUUUAUUGGGAGUCGGCCACGUAGUUAACGACUCCGAGCUGGCGUACACCGUGCUAGUUGGUCUACCCAGUCGGUACAGCGUGGUGACGACUACAUUACUUAUGCGCGACGGCGAUUUGGACAUGGCGAGCGUCACAGCAAAGCUUCUCUCUAUCGAGACGGCUAACGGUGGGUCGGGCAAGCCUACCGAGUCGGCAGCCUUCGCGUCUGUCGGUGGUUCGACGUUCGGCGCUUCUACUUCUGGUUAUGGUAGCCGGGGGCCGGCUAACAACAGCUCGGGACAUAGUCGGAAGCAAGUCACCUGCUACUACUGUAAUAAACCUGGGCACGUGGUUAAGGACUGCAGGCAGCUUAAGGCGCUGAAGCAGUCGUCAAAUUCUGGCUAUAAGGGUGGGUACAACAACAGUGGCAACGGAGGUAGUGGCAGCGGAGCUAGCGGCAGCAAGCCAGGAUCCGGUGGAUCAGCUAGGGGGCCAGGAGUUCCGCGGCAGGUAGCGUUCGUAGCAUAUAACAGUGAGCGUCCGACGGAAUGGUUUCUGGACUCAGCCGCCACUCACCACAUAACGUAUGACCGCUCAGAACUUUUCAACGUGCGGUUGUUGGAGCCAUGGGAGCGCUUCAACAUCAUGGGCAUCAAGGGACAAUCUCUUCGACCGACUGAAGUUGGCACGCUUACGAUUCGGUCUAACGUCAACGAUAAACAGGCCAUCCCUUUCAAGAAGGUCUACGUCGACGAGGAGGCCACCGCCAAAAUCAUAUCGGUCCGCAUCAUUGAUGAUCGUGGAGGCAGUGUGGUCUUCGGCGGCGGACAGGCGAAAGUAUACGUACAGAACCAGUUGGUGCUGACUGGAAAGCGGGAUGGGGACUUGUAUCCCGUCUGCUACAGCAGUGGAGGUACGGGAGCUCUGAAGAGGACGCAGCGUGAAGACAACAGGAUACCUUCUGGUGGUGAUGCAGUGUGUGCUGCCGUGGGUAUCGGAGCUGAACGUGCAGCACUUUGGCACCGAAGGUAUGGCCACUUGGGAUACAGCAACCUUGAGACGUUGCUGCGUCAUAAUAUGGUAGCUGGAUUUGAUGUUGACCGACACAGCAUACAAUCAGCCAGCACGUGUGUGUGUGAGACUUGCGUCCUUGCUACAUACACGUGGUCCUUUUCCGUUAUCUGGGCAUAAGGCAGUGCAGCCUCUCGCGCUCAUUCACAUGGAUGUGUGUGGGCCUAUGCCUGAACCUUCGCCUAGUGGUUCGCAUUACGUGACAACCCUGCUUGACGACCAUACUGGUCUUUCAGCUGUUGAUGUUGUUACAGGGUGGUUAAGCUUCACCAGUGGCCUCCUUCCCGAGGCAAUUCCCUGCUCUCCCCUGCUAGAGGGGCACCCUAAGCCAUUCACCCCAUCCGAUUUCAGAGUGUACUCUUUGAGUUUGGCAACUCACCACCAGCAUCCAACCAAAUCUAGCGGAUCAACGGCGCGUCAACUUAGUUCCUGGUCAGCUCGCGAGUUCAUUUUAUCACGUCCUACACCGUCCACAAGAUGGGGGGCCACCUCCCAUUUCAUCACCUCUCAAACACCCCGAGAGGUCGGCAGGCGGAUUUGAACCCGGACGCGCCGGAACGCGACGGGAGCAGAAGCCAGGCCUUAACGUCUGCCAGCCGCCUGCCUGUUGCGUUUACAGCGACCAAGGAGGAGGUCUACCAGAAGGUGGUGGUAAUGAUAGCGGAACUGGAGCGCGCCACUGGCAGGCAGGUUAAGGAGGUGCGUACAGAUCGUGGCGGGGAGUUCGUUAAUACUCGCACGAAGGCCUAUUUCGCUUCCAGGGGUAUUCUACACGGAACUACGGUAGGCUACACCCCUGAGCAGAACGGAGCUGCAGAACGUUUAAAUCGCACUCUUUUGGACAAGACUAGGGCUAUGCUAGUUGAGUCUGGACUGCCUAAAUCAUUAUGGGCGGAGGCGUUAGCGACAGCCAACUAUCUUAGGAAUGUGUUGCCAACUGCUGGGUCAACCGUCACUCCGUACGAAGCUUUCUUUAACGUUCGUCCGAACGUCAGUCACCUGCGAGUCUUUGGAUGCGUUGCCUACGUCCACGUACCCGACGUCAAGCGUGACAAGUUCGACCCGGUGAGCAGGCGUGGAAUACUUGUUGGAUACGGGAACGGAGGACAAUAUCGUGUGCUAUACGUGGACGGCAUUAUUGCCAUAGUUUCUAACGUUCGUUUCGAUGAAUCUAAUGUCGGCCAGCGGCGUAAUGCCGGGGACUCCGAUUAUGAGUCCGAUGCCGACGAGGAGGAGGAUUUUCGCACUAGUUUGCCUGGUGAGGGAUCGCUGCCUAGGGCUGGCGAAGGGAUACCAGGUAGCACCGUCGGCGAGGGAUCGCCGCACUUGGGUGGCGAGGGGGCGCCGGCUGGGGCUGGACCUUCCAGCAGUGCGAAUGGGCAAGGAAUCAAUCAGCCUGAUGUGGAAAUGGCGGGAACUAGGUACCCAGUUAGAGAGCGUAAACGCCCUGGUGAAUGGUGGCGAAAUGAACCUGGUCGCACUGUUACUGGUCGCGUUAACGCUGCUUUCUCUACUGAUAUUCCCGAACCGAAUUCUUUUGCGGAAGCCAUUGCGAGUCCACAUGCAGACGACUGGCGGCGUGCGAUGGACGAGGAGAUCGCCACCCAGAUGGCUAAUAGUACUUGGGAGCUGAAGAAGCCACCGCCUGGUACUCGUUUGUUGCCGUGUCGUUGGGUAUAUAAGGUUAAGUACAGCGAUGACGGCAGCAUGGAGCGCUUUAAGGCGCGUUUAGUUGCCAAGGGUUUUGAGCAACGCGAGGGGAUUGAUUAUGGGGAGUUGUUUGCCCCUACCUCUCGUGGUUCGUCAUUACGAGCUUUAUUAGCAGUUGCCGCAGCGCGGGACAUGACGGUGCAUCAGCUAGAUGUGUCUACUGCGUUUCUGAAUGGUGAGCUGAAGGAGGAGUUGUGGAUGGAGCAACCGCCUGGGUAUGCAUCCAGUGACCGGUCGCUUGCGUGCAAGCUGCAGAAGUCUAUUUACGGUUUGAAGCAGGCACCCCGUUGCUGGAAUGGAAAGCUAUCAGCAGAGUUCGCCAAGCUGGGUCUUUAUCCUUCGAAGUCUGAUCCGGCGAUGUUUGUUAAGACGGACGAGCGUGGGGUUGUUAUUGCUUUGGUACACGUAGAUGACACUAUUGUUGCGUCGGAAGACCCGGAAAUGGUCCGGGCAAUUAAAGCCGCAAUUGCGAAGGUCUUCAAGGUGCGCGACCUUGGAGAAGCGAAGGUGUUUUUGGGCAUGGAAAUUAGGAGGGAGAAGUCGGGUGAGAUAGUGUUGUCGCAGCAUAGGUAUAUUGCGCAGCUGUUGGAGCGUCAUAGGAUGAUUGACGCCAAGCCGAGGUCUACCCCUUUGCCUCCGGGCUUUAGGUACACUCCUAAGGGGGACGGAGAGGAGCUGCUGGGCAAUCCCACAGAGUAUAGGGCUUUGGUGGGAGAAUUGAACUAUCUGGCGACGAACACGCGGCCUGACAUUUCAUAUGCAUUGAGCAUUUUGUCCCGGCAUAUGGCCGCACCUACGAAGACUGCCAUGAACUUGGCAACCGGCGUUCUACGUUACCUGGCGGGUACACGCGAACUAGGAUUGCGUUUUGGGGGUGUUGGCGACGUUGCUAUGUCCGGGUACAGUGAUUCGGACUGGGCAGGAGACCCAGUUACGCGGCGUUCUACGUCCGGUUACGUAUUCACUCUUAAUGGGGCUGCGAUUAGCUGGAGCAGCCAACUUCAACGUACUGUGGCGGCUUCGUCGGUGGAGGCUGAGUACCAAGCUACAGCGGCGGCUGUUCGUGAGGCUUUGUGGCUUCGCAAGCUGAUGGUUGAUUUGGGCUUGCCUGAGAGCGCGGUGAAAAUCCAGAUAGACUCCCAGGGGGCGCUUAGCUUGGGAAACAACCCGAUUACGUCUGCUCGGUCGAAGCACAUCGACGUGCAGCAUCACAUAGUGCGUGAGAGAGUGAAUAGCGGUGAGGUGCAGUUGGAAUACUGCCCUACGGAGUGGAUGGUUGCGGAUGUGCUCACGAAGGCUCUGGGCGAGGUGAAGUUCAAACGUUGCCGAGAUGCUAUGGGCCUUGUGUGAAGUGUGCAGAUGAACUUGGAACUCGUUGGGAUACGGCCCGAGGGGGCGUGUUGAGGAAACGGUCCUCUCCCAACUCGUGUGGUUAUCGACCAGGGGAUUUGACCCCGGGUCUGCACCUGACUAAUGGGGAAGACUUACCCCAGAACUUUAUGGGGCUACCGAUGCAUAUCCGGUAGCUAAGUGAUAGACAUUAGGGCACCGUCUGGACGGCGCAGUGAGAUCGCGGAAUGUACGUGCAGUUAGAUCGCGGAAUGUACGAGUUUUCCGCUAGCGCCGGUAUUUAGGGCGGUGACUGCGCCUAUUAGUUUAUCUCACAACGAUCGGUAUUCCUACCAGGAAUCUCCUCAAGUCCUGCCGAACGCUAACAAUACUCUUUACAUUACUUGUAACAGUUUAUCGUGUUUCAUAUCUUCGCUGCCGGCAAUUCUUCCGAGAUAACAAUCAGUGUUAGCCGUCACCGUCGCCAAUUCUUCAAUAUUCGCCAGCCCUAGGCAGCGACCCCUCACCAGGCAACCUAGUGUGCAAACCUCGUCGGCAUCGGACCCAUCAUCGGAAUCCCUGGCAUUAUGCCGCCGGGCACUUGACUCGUCAAAGCGGACGUUGGAGACCACGGCGAUGAUGCCGUCCUUGUACAUCACAUGAUACUGUCCUCCACUCCCGUAUCCGACAAGGAUCCCUCAGACACUUACUGUUGUAAGAUACAAACACAACCUGGCUCGGGAAUCCCAAUCCCUUGCCAGACCCACCGGGCCCAGGCUUGCUGAAAUAGAAGCAAAUCACCUCUUUGAGAGGAACGCCAGAACUGCUGCUGGCCGCGCCACGAUUCCCAAGACCAGAACCAGAGGCCCCAAACGAAAAACUGCCGACAGAUGCAAACGCUGCCGACUCGGUAGGCUUACCAGACCCACCGCUUGCCACCUCGAUAGCCAAAAGCUUGGAGGUGACGCUCGCCAUGUCCAAAUCGCCGUCAUGCACCAGCAGGGACGUCGUUACCACGUUGAAGUGGCUGGGUAGACCAACAAGCAAAGUGUGUGCCCGCUCAGAAUCGCUGAUAACGUGUCCUACUCCCGACUGUAAUUGCUUGCAGGCGUCCUGUGCCUUCUUCACGCUAGCUAUGUAAGCUACUAGCGUUAACCGGGGCUCAUAACCUGUUAAGAAUAUAAAGGCAAGGAGACUCAUAAGGGUUACAGUCUGUGGGUUAAUGGUGAACGGCAAGAAGACUUUAGGAGAUUCAAGUUAAGGAAUACCGAUCCAUCCUAAGAUGAGAUAGAAAGACAUGCACCACUCCUGUCUUAUGUACCGAUACCAACGGAAGUAUUGUACAGUCUUCCACCAUCCCUGGACCUGAGGACACGUCCGAGAUACGCAGCCGAGAGACCCGAGGCAAGGUCGAGGCACAGCCGAGGCAAGGUCGAGGCACAGCCGAGGCAAGGUCGAGGCACAGCCGAGGCAAGGUCGAGGCACAGCCGAGGCAAGGUCGAGGCACAGCCGAGGCAAGGUCGAGGCACAGCCGAGGCAAGGUCGAGGCACAGCCGAGGCAAGGUCGAGGCACGUCCGAGGCAUCCCCUAUCAAGGCGGAUUCAUCACCUAACUACCACCUAACUACGUCGGGAUAGGACCGCCCUUCAACACAAACGAAUUAGGUUCAGGAAUAUCAGCAGAGAAAGCAGCAUUAACGCGACCAGUGACAGUGCGACCAGGUUCGUUUCACAACCAUUCGCCAGGGCGUUAACGUUCUCUAACUGGAUAACGGGUCCCUGCAAUUUCCACAUCGGGCUGAUUGUUACCUUGCACGUUCGCACUGCUGGAUGGUCCAGCCCCAGCCGGCACCCCCUCGCCACCCAAGUGCGGCGAUCCCUCGCCGACGGUGCUGCCUGGUAUCACUUCACCAGCCCUAGGCAGCGAUCCCUUACCAGGCAAGCUAGUGCGAAAAUCCUCCUCCUCGUCAGCAUCGGACUCAUAAUCGGAGUCCCCGGCAGAACACCGCCGGCCGACGUUAGACGCAUUAAAGCGAACAUUAGAAAAUACGGCAAUAAUGCCGUCGUCGUACAGCACACGGUACUGUCCUCCGUUCCCGUAUCCGACAAGUAUUCCACGCCUGCUCACCGGAUCGAACUUGUCGCGUUUGACGUCAGGUACGUGGACGUAGGCGACGCACCCAAAAUCUCGAAGGUGACUGACGUUAGGACGGACGUUGAAGAAAGCUUCAUACGGUGUGACAGUUGACCCAGCAGUUGGCGACACAUUCCUGAGGUAAUUGGCUGUCGCCAACACUUCCGCCCUUAAUGACUUAGGUAGACCGGACUCGACAAGCAUAGCCCUGGUUUUGUCUAGGAGAGUGCAAUUCAAACAUUCCGCUGCUCCGUUCUGCUCAGGGGUGUAGCCUACCGUAGUUCCAUGUACAAUACCCCUGGACGCGAAAUAGCUCUUCAUGCGAGUAUUAAUGAACUGUUAAGAAUAUGAAGGAGGCAAGGAGACUUGUUGCGAUAUAAGUAUUAAAAUCGGUAGGUGAGUGGUAAACGGCAGGAAGACUUUAGGAGAUUCCUACUGAGGAAUACCGAUCCAUACAAAGAUGAGAUACUAAGACUUGCACAACUCGUGUCUUAUAUACCAUUACCAAUGGAAGUAUCGUACAGUCGUCCACCAUCCCUGGACCUGAGGACACGUCCGAGAUAUGCGGCCGAGAGACCCGAGGCAAGGUCGAGGCACAGCCGAGGCAAGGUCGAGGCACGUUCGAGGCAAGGUCGAGGCACGUCCGAGGCAUCGCCUAUCACGGCUGAUUCAUCGCCUAACUACCACCCAUCUACGUUGGGAUAGGACCGCCCUUCAACAUGAACUCCCCACCAUGAUCCGUACGCACCUCCUUAACCUGCCUGCCAGAAGCGUGCUCCAGUUCCGCUAUCAUUACCACCAUCUUCUGAUAGACCUCCUCCUUGGUCGCUGUAAACGCAACAGCUGAAAGACCGGUAUGGUCGUCAAGCAGAGUUGUCACGUAACACGAACCACUAGGGGAAGGUUCAGGCAUAGGUAGGGCUGGCACGGGUACUACAUUAGAAAAGAGUACUAUACUAGAAUAGGGAGACCCCCGAAUUAGUCGGGAGCGCGAGAUUAUGGCUAGCUACUGAGAUGUGGAGUUGAGGUCACAGUUAUUGGACCAGAUUCGUACGCUGGAUUGGUGGCGAUUGCCGAACCCUCCGUCUCUUCGGUUGUUCGGGUGAAUGGAUGAGGAGGGGUCCCUGAAGGCUGGAUCCGCCGCCUUGGACUUACAGUUCGUAUGGCGAAGUACAGUGUGGUAGUGGUGGAUGGUGCUAUAAGGUGAUAAAUCGUAGAACUGAUAAUGUCAUAAAGUGGCCCAGAAGCCUCUCACUCUGUAACAUUACACAUUACACUAGAAUAGUACUAUGCAUAGUACUACAUAGUAUGCAGGGCUCUAAACUGGCACUAGUUUACGAUGCUCGUACCGCGUUCGUACAUAGUAUAAUAAUAUAGUAAAAAUAGUACUAGAUAGCACUAGAUUUGGGUUUGGAUAGUGUCAAGUAUUAGUUGGACCAAGUCGAGAUCUGCAGUCAAGCUGUAUUUUGAAGGCUAUAGCCGCGUCUUCGAGCUGUGCUACAUAGUUUUGAUGAAUAAUGUCGAGGGAAUCCAGUAUAAAUAAUGACACGGUGAUGGUGCUUGAACAGCGGGCAGCGUCACUCAGCCAGCAACAGCAACAGAGUGGAACCAGCUCCGUGCCAGCAAGGCGGAUCAGCAGGUCCACUCCAAGCACCGGCGCGGCAUUGAUGGCCAGACCCCCCUCCCGGUGAUUCCCGCGACUCUCGCGGGGCAAGUCGUGGAGGACCUUUGGCAUGUACAGGAACAACAUGCCUAUUCACCUGAUCAAGAAGCCCGAGUUGCGGAACCUAUUCGGGCUGCUGGGCGUCACCCUGCCGAACCGGAAGCAGUUGAACUUCACUAGUAUGACGUCCGUGUGUUGUCUUGUGAACACUGGGUCUUCUAUCUGUGAUUAUGUCUUUAUGUGCCAUAACACGCCUUGAGACAUUUGGUCCACCCACCAGGCACUGAACUAACAAAAAGUGAUCUUGAUGACCGCAGCGAUCUGCUUUCUAAUGUCUAAGUAGCUAUUUAGAAAGAACAAAAGAAGAUCUUUCCAACGGUGUAAUUUUCAGGUACAACGGUUGGCUGUACACCCCCCUUCUACUGGGAGCGUGCACCUGCCUAGUAAUAGUAUCAUAGUAUUACAUUACUAUAUAUAGUACUAUUUCUUACCAUACUAUGAUAUUUGGGUUUUAAAUUAUAGUAUUUUUGCCAACCCUAGGCAUAGGUCCACACACAUCCAUGGUCUGGUCUGGAUUGACACUACUGCGAUUCGCGGUUUAAGGUCCUGGGUUCGAUUCCUGGGGAGACCCCGAAUUAGUCGGGAGCGCGAGAUUAUGGCUAGCUGCUGAGAUGUGGAGUUGAGGUCGCAGUUGAUGGACCAGAUUCGCACGCUGGAUUGGUGGCGAUUGCCGAACCCUCCGUCUCUUCGGUUGUUCGGGUGAAUGGAUGAGGAGGGGUCCUCGACGGCUGGACCCGCCGCCUUGGACUUACAGUUCGUAUGGCGAAGUAUAGUGUGGUAGUGGUGGAUGGUGCUAUAAGAUGAUAAAUCGUAGAACUGACAAUGUGAUAAAAGCGGCCCAGAAGCCUCCCACUCUGUAACAUUACAUUACAUCCAUGUGAACUAGUGCUAGUGGCUGGGCUGCCUUGUGCCCUGUCAGCAGAAAAUGACCUCGUGUCUGCUUUGCAAAAAUGCAGGUCUCACAAACACACAUGCUGGCUUUCUGAAAGCUGUGCUGGUCGACGUCAAAUCCCAUUACCAUAUUGUGGCGCAGCAACACCUCGAGGUUGCUGUAGCCCAGAUGUCCGUAACACCGAUGCCAAAGUGUUGCAUGCUCCGUCUUGGAAUCCACGGCGGUGCACGUUGUACCAUGUCCGUUGUCACAGUAGCUCGUAUUCUGCGUCCUCCUGAUGGUGCCUGUACUUCCACCUCGAUAGCAAAUGGGGUAGAGAUCACCGUCCCGUUCACCGGUCAACACUAAAUGAUUUUGCAAGUAUACCUUUACUUGACUGUCACCGAAGACUGCUCAAGCCCAAGCUCCAUGCACAUCGCACUAAACUGGAUUUGCCACGUGGAGUAGUUGUGGAGGUCCAGCGGCUCAUCAAGCUUAUCCUUGACCAUUGUCGAUAGGGGAUAGAAAUAACAACCAGGCAGGCGGCUGGCAGAGGUUAAGGCCUGACUUCUGCUCCCGGUCGACCCGGGUUCAAAUCCGCCUGCCGACCUCUCGGGUGUUUGAGAGGUGGUGAUAUGGGAGGUGGCCCCCCAUCUUGUGGACGGUGUAGGACGUGAUAAAAUCAACUCGCGAGCUGACCAGGAACUAAGUUGAGGCGCCGUCGAUCCGCUAGAUUUGGUUGGAUGCUGGUGGUGAGUUGCCAAACUCAAAGAGUACACUCUGAAGUCUGAUGGGGUGAAUGGCUUAGGGUGCCCCUCUAGCAGGGGAGAGCAGGGAAUUGCCUCGGGAAGGAGGCCACUGGUGAAUCUUAACCACCCUGUAACAACAUCAACAUCAACAUCCACAACCUAACUAAGUUGAUGCACCGUUGAUCCGCUAGAUUUGGUUGGAUGCUGGUGGUGAGUUGCCAAACUCAAAGAGUACACUCUGAAGUGGGAUGGGGUGAAUGGCUUAGGGUGCCCCUCUAGCAGGGGAGAGCAGGGAAUUGCCUCGGGAAGGAGGCCACUGGUGAAGAUUAACCACCCUGUAACAACAUCAACAACAUCAACAACCUGACGAUAGCUGUCGGCGCUACACGGGGCUCAUAACCUAUUGGAGAAUUGGUGAUGGUGACGGCUGACACUGAUUGUUAUUCCGAAAGAAUUGCCGGUGGCGAAGAUAUCAGGCACGAUUAAUUGUUACAAGUAAUGUAAAAAACUGUAAAUUGCGUUAGGCAGGACUUGAGGAGAUUCCUGGUAGGAAUACCGAUCGUUCUGAGAUAAACAAAUAAGCGCAGUCACCGCCCUUGUUACGUUAAGGCUUAUCACAACCAGUCAUGGUGGUGUCGAAAGACACCGGAUGCGAUUACAGCAGAGAAGGUGUAGCCAUCCAGUGUACGACCCGCACUAAUGUACGACGUCGCAAAAGGAAGAUCUUGAGAAUAGCUGAGUGAACCCCGUUGAAGAGAAACAUUGAGAGUUAUGUAACUGCUCUUGCACGUUACAUCAUUCCCCCCCUAAAUGGCUGGUCGUCCCGACAGCCAGCCAACCUUGGCUUCACCGCCACACGAGAGGAAAAAGCAGGGCUUCCGGAACCCCACUGGUGACAGACAAGUGGUUGAGAAAAGCAUUAAAGCGCGAAGGCUUUUUGAUCACACGGCCGUGACGAGUAGUCUGAGGAGCUCGAUGCGGCUUCGAGCCAGAAGCGUCAGCGUCACCCGAAAGUGUCGCCUGACCUUGGGACUUCGAGGUUGGAACUGAGUCAGAUUGACGUGCCCAAUAGUCGCGCAACAAAUCGCCGCAGUUAGUUAGGUUCGUUUCGGGUUCCCACGAAUCAAAUUCCGGGCCCUGACCUUUCCAACGCAUUAAGUAGAAACGCUUUUGUCGACGUCCUUCUUUCACUUCUUUAUGAAGUAGAAUGGACUCAACUUCGAACUCCAAUUCACCCUCAACAAUCUGAGGUGGCGGAGGUAGCUGAACGCGACCACCAUCUUGAUACGGACGAAGGAGUGACACAUGAAAUACAUCAUGUAUCCGCACCGCAGGAGGAAGAUCCAACCGAUACGCAACCGCGUUGAUCUUUUCCUUAACCACAAAGGGUCCGAUAAAGCGAGGCAGCAAUUUGCGCACACCUUUAAUAGUCAUGUGUUUCGUACUCAAGAGUACACGAUCACCAACAGAAAGUCCUCGUUCCGAGCGACCUUUGUCAGCCCAUUUCUUCAUCCGAUCUCGAGCAGCAGCCAAGCAAGACUUAGCUCGUUCCAAAGCAUUCUGCAUAUCCGUACUGAAUUUAACAGAUAACGGAUUAGACAGUUUGGCCACGCUUUGCAAGCGCGUCUUGGCCCUCUCCUCCCCCAAUUUGCGAACCAGGUGAGAAGCCGGAGUUAGGGGUUCAUAUCCGUACAUCAACCGAAAAGGAGUAGUUCGCGUAGAUUCAUGCAACGAAUUGUUCAUGGCGAACUCAGCCAUCGGCAGAUAACGGGACCAUGAGGAUUGAUCGCCAGAAACGAAAUGACGCAACAUAUCCUCCAGAACACGAUUUGCACGUUCUGUUUGGCCAUCCGUUUGAGGAUGAUAACCAGAACUGCGACGCAAGUCGAUUUGAUAUCCAUCAAAAAGCGACUCGAAAAAGGCAGAGGUAAACUUAGGAUCCCUGUCGCAAAUGACGACAGACGGAACACCGUACGAACACACAAUGGUGUUGACGAAGAUUUCAGCCGCUUUGACAGAGUCAACAGAGGCCUUACAGGGCACAAACCGAACCAUCUUGGUGAGUUUGUCCACAAACACAUAGAUCGAAGUAUUGCCAUCAGGAUCGGGAGGCAGAUCAGUAAUAAAAUCCAUGGUCACGAAAGACCACUUCUGAUCAGGAAUCGGCAGCGGAAGAAGCAAACCACCAGGGAGACUGGUAUCUGCCUUUACCCUCUGACAGCUGUCACACGUACGACAGUACGCUGCGACGGAUUGACGCAGCCUAGGCCACCAAAACGAACGACGCACCAAAUCAAGAGUUUUGGUUACGCCCGUAUGGCCUGCCAACGGAUGGUCAUGACAAAGACGCAGAACGGUAGUACGCAAAUCAGCAUGAUCUGGCACAACCAAAGCAUCUCCUCGAUACCAGAAUUGACCACGUUGCGAUAAUGCAACCGUGUUUUCUGAUAUUUUAAACCAAGGAUCGAUACCAUACCCAUCAAGUACCGAUGACUCGAACAUAGGAAAAGAGCACUGAAGCUCUACGGUGGUGUCACGGAAGGCAGAAAUUUCUCCCAACCGUUGAGCACUAAUCGUCAUAACCUUCGUCGUUUCAACAUCGACGUGUCCCGGAAGCCGAGACAACGGAUCUGCAGGAUUGCAACGACCCGCGCGAUACUGCCAUUCGAAAUCGAAAGACUCCAGAAAUUCCGACCACCGCGCCACACGUCGAGACAACAGAGACUUACGGCGCAUGGCGGUGUUAGGUUCGUGAUCUGUAACGACCGUAAACUUUACACCUUCGAGGUAACAACGCCACAAUUUGAGCGCAUGCACAACGGCCAAGAGCUCUUUUUCAGUGACGAUGUAGUUCAACUCAGCAGGAAUCAGUUUACGGCUCUCAAAAGCCACUGGCCUUCCAUGCUGGAGCAAAAUUGCACCCAAUGCGAAGUCGCUAGCAUCCGCGAUCACCUCGAAAGGUUCACGAGGAUCCGGCAAAGCAAGCACUGGCGCCCGAGUGAGCGCUUCCUUAACACGAAGGAAAGCCUCGUCGCAUUUCUCCGACCAAAACCACUUAGUCUUAGGAGAAAGCAAGUCCGUUAGCGGUUUAACCAAAGCCGCAUACGCACGAAUAAAUUUCCUGAAGUAAUUAGCAAGACCCAGGAAGGAUCGAAGCUCCGAAACAUUCUUGGGCACAGGCCACUGUUGGACAACAGCAGUCUUCCGAGGAUCGGGCCGUACACCGUCGGCCGAUACGAUAUGCCCCAAAAACGAAACGGACGGUUUGAAGAACUCGCACUUGGACAGCUUACAGUAGAACUGACGCUGUUCGAGACGUUCAAGCACUGCACGCAGAUGCUCAACGUGUUCAUCGGCGGUCUUCGAGAAGAUCAGAAUAUCGUCCAGAUACACUACCACGAACGGCAAACCCUGCAAGGCUUGAUUCAUGGCAGACUGGAAGACAGCAGGAGCAUUAGUCAGGCCAAAAGGCAUAACUUUAUACUGAUAAUGCCCGAAAGGAGUGCGAAACGCGGUACGCUCCACAUCGCUAGGAUUUAACCGUAACUGGUGAUAACCCUGCGUUAAAUCGAGUGAGCUGAAAACUGUCGCACCUCGCAAACGAUCCAACAAAUCAUCUAUCCGAGGCAACGGAAAACGAUUUUUGAUCGUGAGGCUGUUGACUGCGCGAUAGUCAACACACAUACGUAAAGUGCCAUCCUUCUUCUUAACGAACAUAGAGGGUAGGACAAACUGUCGGGCAGAGCAAUUCUUUUGACUGCCCCGGUCGCACAAUUCCCGUGCUUCCCUAAUUCGACACCCUGAACACGCUAAUUCUGACUGUCCGAAUGUCCCUGCCAGGCCAAUUCGGCACCCUGUCAGCCUAAUUCUGACUGUCGGAAUGUCCCGCCAGGCUAAUUCGUAUCCCUGUCAGGCUAAUUCUGACUGUCGGAAUGUCCCUGCCAGGCCAAUUCUUAUCCCUGUCAGGCCAAUUCAAGGGCCUGUCCCGGCAAUUCAACUUGUCCCAGGUGUCAAUUUAAACCCUUCUACCGAGCAAUCUAGACCAAUUGCAGGGUCUGCCCCCAAACUCUCAGGCACGCAUUCAGAAUCGCGGAAGUUGAAGGAACUUUACGAAACAAGGGGAGCACUUACAAAUAUCUCUCGUAUGUUUGUUGGUUUCAAAUCCGUACAUGCUUGUACGGNNNNNNNNNNNNNNNNNNNNNNNNNNNNNNNNNNNNNNNNNNNNNNNNNNCCUUGUUACCGUACUCCGUACUCAUUCACCCAUACAUUCAUUGUGUGUGUAUGUGUGAAAAGUUACCAUCACCCGAACCGACCAAAACCAAAGGUGUGUCUGCAUGGCAAGUCGCUCACAAUUUUAACACCCGGUCUAUUCAUUCAUUCAUUCCUUCGUUCAGACAAGCAGACAUAUCCACACGCCUCGUCUUGAACUGUGCUUCAGUCCUGCUAAGGGCCCCCGGCACUCGACCAGACUACAUGUGUUCAAAAAGAUACCACCACCCGAACCGAACCAAACCAGGGGCAUGUUAACCACACCUUUCAUUCGUCCAUUCAUUCAUACAUCCAAUCAUUCACGCAGACAAAGAAAUGUAAGCACACGCGCCUGCCCUGCAGUAGUGUGGCCCGGCACAAAGUAGCUGUAGUAGCUGGUACACAGUAAGCCAGGGUACCCAGUCGACCCGGGUUCAAAUCCGCCUGCCGGCUCCUCGGGUGUUUGAGGAGUGAUGAAAUGGGAGGUGGCCCCCCAUCUUAUGGACGGUGUAGGACGUGAUAAUAUCAACUUGCGAGCUGACCAGGAACUAAGUUGAUGCGCCGUUGAUCCGCUAGAUUUGGUUGGAUGCUGGUGGUGAGUUGCCGAACCCAACGAAUACAUUCUGAAGUCGGAUGGGGUGACGGAUUAGGGUGCCCCUCUAGCAGGGGAGAGCAGGGACUGCCCCGGGAAAGGGGGCCGCUGGCGAAGUUGACCACCCUGUAACAACAUACAGUAAGCACAGUAAGCUGGUACACACAUAGCACGACCACCAGCAUCUCGAGAGGCCUUUUCAGCCGCCAGCUACUAAAUAAUGCAUGAACGUCACAUAGAGGAAGGUAGCAUAAUACGAGCCGUCAACGAUAGGACCAUCACCGCCAACCGGACUGUGUGAACCUGUCUCCAGUGCGUCACGCAGCACACUGACUGCCUUGACGCUUCCAGUUGAGGGAUCCAUGUCGAGGUCGGCCAACCUGUCUGUCAGUGAAUGGCGGUAAGUCAGCCACAAACCAGUCUGUACCUAAUUCCAGGUUGGAUAGAGCCUACUUGAGAGUGGCGCGCUGGUUCUGUUUGUCCUUGUAGUUGAGAUCCUGGGACGAGAUGUUGACAUGGGGCAUGCGCUUGCUCAGCGCGCGCAGUGCANNNNNNNNNNNNNNNNNNNNNNNNNNNNNNNNNNNNNNNNNNNNNNNNNNNNNNNNNNNNNNNNNNNNNNNNNNNNNNNNNNNNNNNNNNNNNNNNNNNNNCGCCAGCCAAUGUGCAUUUGGUCAAUGACGGGUUGGAGCACGGACACCCACGUCACUGGAAGGGGCAAUGUAAAAAGCUACCUCCUCCUGCUGGCGUUGUUGUCCUUUGACGCUGAGACCCCGGAUGAUACCCCGCAGCAACUGUUGAAUUGUGCCGUCAACGAGUCCUGAAUGUCAAUCGAUGUCCGAUGGUUAACAAGUCAAGGCAUGUGUACGCGCACGCCAGCCUACACUACUCACGCAUGCCGACACUGCAUCAUACCUCGUUGUUGUGAUGUUUCGAGCAGUCGGACCGAGCGUAUGCCUGUAGCCUCACUCUAUCAGCCUGGAAAAGGGAUGUCCGCCGCUUAAUCUCCCUGUCCAGCGCUAUUCGAUCUGCCCGCGGAUGUGACCGCCUUGAGCUCAACAUGUCCCACACGCUCAAGUCCCUCGGCAGAACGGAAGGGGACAAUGACACGUGGAUCUGUCGCGACUCGCUGUGUCGCAGCGACUCGCAGUGAAGCAGCGUCGGCUGAACGCUUCAAUUGGUGAUUUCUGUUGAGGGCCAGACACGCGGCACACGGCCGUCCAGCUGCGGAGGAGAAACUGCAGACAACGGACCGGAUGGAGUCGAUUUCGCCGUAUGCUGGAAGCUGAUUAUCCCGGAAGAAUGUAUCCGCCUGUGGCGCCAUGUCAGGAUUCCCAUGUGGGUUAACAUUUGUCAGGCAGACCAACACGCUAGCCUUGCCUUUGCCCGACCCACAUGCACUGACCUUAUCAAACCGCCAUGCCAUCAACAACCCGGGGUACAGGCUAGCGCGCGCCCUGCAUCGCCGCCCGUGUCCAUGAUGGCGGCCUCAAUGUCCCGCGGCCCCAACACACCCGCCUGGGAACAGCCGUAUAGGCAGGCGUAACAUUCGUCGCGCAGUCCAGGGCACGACAUCCCACCGAUAACACGGCGCCGACGCUCGGCUAGUUGUUGCAGGAAGGGGCGCGCUGGACGGGCGCCUGGCAUGGGUAACGGACCGGGCAACGGCGCCGUGCUUCGAAGCCCGCGCUGCGACAACAGGUCUGAAAACAUGGCCUGCAUACCGGCAUCCGUAUCCAACACUGCCGGUGCGAAGGCUGCGAAGGACGCAUACUUAACUCCACAGCUAGAUCCAUCGAAGCCACAAAGCGCCUGAACACAAAAUUGUGGGUACAGGACCGUGCAUGGCGCUGGGUGGCCACAGCAACACAAGUGAAUCGUGUGCUGGCGUCCACAGACUCUGCAAUCAAGCUGACGUUUCUCCAGGACUUCCAUAGCAGAGGCCGGAGACUUCUCCGCCCCGAAUACCUUCAUGCAUGCACCAUGGUUCAUUUAGCACCGUUCGACACAAGAACCUAUGGUGAUAAUAUAAACUGGCAUACUUAUAACAAUGGUUUACCGAGAUUUUUAGAAAUGCUUCCCUACUGUCUAAAUACCUUCAGCUUUUUAAAAGGAUCACGCCUUAGAUAUUGCUCAACAACGGCAUAGAGAUGUAUAAGUAUACCAAAAGCACUUCCAGCGCCGCGCACUGUCACGAAUUAAUGCAUACACCACGCUUCCGUACAACAAGAGUUUGGUGCGCAUGUAAGUAUGGGUUGCGAGCGUAUCACAGUCGAUANNNNNNNNNNNNNNNNNNNNNNNNNNNNNNNNNNNNNNNNNNNNNNNNNNNNNNNNNNNNNNNNNNNNNNNNNNNNNNNNNNNNNNNNNNNNNNNNNNNNNNNNNNNNNNNNNNNNNNNNNNNNNNNNNNNNNNNNNNNNNNNNNNNNNNNNNNNNNNNNNNNNNNNNNNNNNNNNNNNNNNNNNNNNNNNNNNNNNNNNNNNNNNNNNNNNNNNNNNNNNNNNNNNNNNNNNNNNNNNNNNNNNNNNNNNNNNNNNNNNNNNNNNNNNNNNNNNNNNNNNNNNNNNNNNNNNNNNNNNNNNNNNNNNNNNNNNNNNNNNNNNNNNNNNNNNNNNNNNNNNNNNNNNNNNNNNNNNNNNNNNNNNNNNNNNNNNNNNNNNNNNNNNNNNNNNNNNNNNNNNNNNNNNNNNNNNNNNNNNNNNNNNNNNNNNNNNNNNNNNNNNNNNNNNNNNNNNNNNNNNNNNNNNNNNNNNNNNNNNNNNNNNNNNNNNNNNNNNNNNNNNNNNNNNNNNNNNNNNNNNNNNNNNNNNNNNNNNNNNNNNNNNNNNNNNNNNNNNNNNNNNNNNNNNNNNNNNNNNNNNNNNNNNNNNNNNNNNNNNNNNNNNNNNNNNNNNNNNNNNNNNNNNNNNNNNNNNNNNNNNNNNNNNNNNNNNNNNNNNNNNNNNNNNNNNNNNNNNNNNNNNNNNNNNNNNNNNNNNNNNNNNNNNNNNNNNNNNNNNNNNNNNNNNNNNNNNNNNNNNNNNNNNNNNNNNNNNNNNNNNNNNNNNNNNNNNNNNNNNNNNNNNNNNNNNNNNNNNNNNNNNNNNNNNNNNNNNNNNNNNNNNNNNNNNNNNNNNNNNNNNNNNNNNNNNNNNNNNNNNNNNNNNNNNNNNNNNNNNNNNNNNNNNNNNNNNNNNNNNNNNNNNNNNNNNNNNNNNNNNNNNNNNNNNNNNNNNNNNNNNNNNNNNNNNNNNNNNNNNNNNNNNNNNNNNNNNNNNNNNNNNNNNNNNNNNNNNNNNNNNNNNNNNNNNNNNNNNNNNNNNNNNNNNNNNNNNNNNNNNNNNNNNNNNNNNNNNNNNNNNNNNNNNNNNNNNNNNNNNNNNNNNNNNNNNNNNNNNNNNNNNNNNNNNNNNNNNNNNNNNNNNNNNNNNNNNNNNNNNNNNNNNNNNNNNNNNNNNNNNNNNNNNNNNNNNNNNNNNNNNNNNNNNNNNNNNNNNNNNNNNNNNNNNNNNNNNNNNNNNNNNNNNCGAACAGGUCAAUUCGAUACCCUGUCAGGCUAAUUCAAUACCCUGUUAGGCCAAUUCGGCACCCGGACAGGCCAAUUCGACACCCGGACAGGCCAAUUCAGGCGCAGCACAGCCCAAUUCCGAGGCUCCACAGCGCAAUUCGAAUACCUCCGGCGGGUCCGCCAGAACAAUUCCAGACCUCGGCAGACCAAUUCUUUUGUCAGGAAUAAAAUCCAGGCUAAUUCUGCGACAGAGCUCUUCCCUAAUUCCAGCCCGAAUCCUACCCUCCUACGAACAAGACAGGCGCACCAAAGGGCGAACACGAAGGUUCAAUAAAUCCCUUCUCCAAAAGAUCCGAAAUUUGCCUUUGCAUUUCCUCUUGCUCAGGGAGCGAAUAGCGAAACAUGCGUUGAGCAGGUGGACGAGCACCAGGCUCCAACGGAACGACAGGCGGCAAAUUACGAUCAGGAGGUAACGAAGCAGGCAACUGGUCUGGAAAUAAAUGCGCUUUUUCCAGCAACAAAGCCUUAAGACGCAAAUCCGCAGGUGACUCGCCGCGCACGACGUCACUAACCUUCUGCGCGAAAGCGGAAACAGACGAAUGCGAUGGCGGAAGUGACGACUCCUCCCCCGGCAAAUUGACAGCAUCCGGAACAGGAUCCGCAGCCGAGACGAGACAUAGGUAGAACGUGUCACUCUCCUCCAUGGCCUGCGCAAGUGAGCAAUGCGCAACUGCAUCCAGAACUUCAGGAGAAGAACCNNNNNNNNNNNNNNNNNNNNNNNNNNNNNNNNNNNNNNNNNNNNNNNNNNUUGAACGAGUCGAACGGGGACCAGAGCCAGACGCUCCAGCACCAGAGCCAGAAGCACCUUGACGCGAUGAAUCUGACGAAGGUGAANCGGAGGACUUGAGUUCCUCCGCGUAAGUCUUCAAGACGUGAAGAAAACAGUCCAAACUGGUCCAUGGGCGCCUGAUUUCGACAGUGCGAUCGUACAUGAGACGAUCACGUAAGCUGUCAGGCAACAGACGAACCAGUUGAUAGACGAUAAGCUCCUCAGGAGUCGCAGCCGGCAGCUCCCGACGAAUGUCGUGAAGAUGUUGAAGCACUUGCUCCACUGAACACGCUGGUUUGGCGUUGAACAUACGGCAAAGUGCAUUGUAAGAGGAGGCGCCGGAUGACAGAACAACGGCUUCAGUGAACCAGUUUAGAAGCCAAGAAGCGCUGGGAAUCACUGGCGGCGUCAACGCGGAAAGCGAUUUACGAAGAUCUGUAACGAGAGACGCCGGACCCACACUUAAGACGACCCAAUUGGUGGCAGCUGAAUCAGAAAGAGUGUAGCCGGCCAAGUCGAGGUAUCCAACUAAAUCGUCGACCAAGAAAGAUAGGUAAUCGGGCAAACUCAAUUGCACUUUGGCUGCAGCGUCCGCUGAGACAAGACGACGUCUGUCAGGCUGCGGAGGCUCGAGGGGGCGCAGGCGCCGAGUAACAGUGCCCGGCUGUGAAUCGGACAUUGUAGCAUCACCGUUGACCGGCGACGGAAGCGGCACCGGAUCCACGGCAGUAGAAAUAGGAACAGCCCGAGGUUGUGACCCAGAAGGCUGAUCAGGCGAGGCGACUGUAGGCGCCGGUGCAAGCGCCAAGGCCGCCAUCGGCGAAGUAACGGUGUUUACCGCCGGAUCGGCUGAAACUCCAGUAUUCAUCCUCGGAGAAGAUACAGGAGACGAAGAAGUUUGAAGAACAGUAGGUAAAGCCGACCGACGAUAAAGUGAAAGAAAUGGACGAAAAAGCAUAAUCCCAGAAAGAAAAAUUUCACCGUCUCGAUGCCAAUGUUACGUUAAGGCUUAUCACAACCAGUCAUGGUGGUGUCGAAAGACACCGGAUGCGAUUACACCAGAGAAGGUGUAGCCAUCCAGUGUACGACCCGCACUAAUGUACGACGUCGCAAAAGGAAGAUCUUGAGAAUAGCUGAGUGAACCCCGUUGAAGAGAAACAUUGAGAGUUAUGUAACUGCUCUUGCACGUUACAGCCCUAAAUACCAGCGCUAGAGGAAAAGUCAUACAUUCCGCGAUCUAACUGCACGUACAUUCCGCGAUCUCACUGCGCCGUCCUGACCAAAUGUCUAUCACUGGAUGCAUACCCAGGCGGUUGCUCCAUCCACAAUUCCUCCUUCAGCUCACCAUUCAGAAACGCAGUAGACACAUCGAGCUGAUGUACCGUCAUGUUCCGGGCUGCGGCAACUGCUAAUAAAGCACGCAAUGACGAACCACGAGAGGUAGGGGCAAACAACUCCCCAUAAUCAAUCCCCUCACGUUGCUCGAAACCCUUGGCAACUAAACGCGCCUUAAAACGCUCCACGCUGCCGUCAUCGCUGUACUUAACCUUAUACACCCAACGACACGGCAACAAACGAGUACCAGGAGGUGGCUUCUUCAGCUCCCAAGUACUAUUAGCCAUCUGGGCGGCGAUCUCCUCGUCCAUCGCAUGCCGCCAGUCGUCUGCAUGUGGACUUGCAAUUGCUUCCUCAAACGAAUUAGGCUCAGGAAUACCAGCAGAGAAAGCAGCGUUAACGCGACCAGUGACAGUGCGACCAGGUUCGUUUCGCCACCAUUCGCCAGGGCGUUUACGCUCUCUAACUGGAUAUCUAGUUCCNNNNNNNNNNNNNNNNNNNNNNNNNNNNNNNNNNNNNNNNNNNNNNNNNNCGACGAUCUUGGGUGCUGCAGUCGAACCGUCAGGCGGCUUAACCACCAAACCCACGCGCCGUGCAAAACCUGCGCUGAGUAAAUGAGCGGCUUGACUGCCCGAAUCGAGCAAGAUGGUCGCCUCCUGUUGGCAAACAGAACCUGCGAACUGCAUAGCCAAACUGGGAGACACCGAAAAAGGGACGGUUGUCGCAACACAAACAGCCGACUCAGAAGGAGACUCGGCAGGAGCAUCAUACCAGAACUCCAUCGGCGAGGAAACUCCCUGCACACGAGACAUUUUACCUUUUCCCGACGACACGGAAAACAGGUGAUACCCCGCGUGGUACUCGUGAAGCUUUUUCAUGCCUGCAAGCAGAGGACGCCAACGCGCUGUAACCCAUUUAGGAAGCAAAAAUCCCCCAGACGUGGUCGAUGGCGCAAUCGACUUGCAACGCAGGUAGUGACGCAGGAAAUCUUGAAUACGCGCCCGAGGCGGAUGCAUCCAAACGUGAUGUCCUGCGCAGCUAUCAUGCAAAAAGCUGCGAGAAGGCGAACUAUACUUCGGACACAAGGCAUUAGACCCAUCGUUAGAUGCGCAUGCAUCCCAAGUGAAGUGACGACCGGAAAGCUGCUGCAAGUGCUGAAAUUCGUGCUUGCGAAUGCAAAGUUCUUGAGGCGGAGGGACAUCUGCAACCGGCAUCGAACUGUUCGUCUUUGUGUUACAAUAGCGAGAAGGCUCUGUAACCAGACGUACGUUAAAAGCCGCGUUCAGUUCCGACUGAGAACGAUUCACAACGCGAUCACUUGCGUUUGACAACUUCACAGGCGCACUCGACAUAGUCGCCAAAAACUUGUGCGCUUGCCGCUGAGGCACGCCCGCAGGCGUCGGCUCAACCGACACAGCCACAGAUGGUCCAGAAACAACAGGUUCUGCGACACACAAAUCACGAUUAUUCUGCACAGCCAAAGAAGCCAUCGCAGACAACACCGAAAAAUCAACGUCUUGUUCAACAGGCGCGAGGUCAACUCCGCCAUCGGGUGGGUCAGAACCCGGACAAGACAACGAACGUCACGGCUUAGACAUGGACGGCUUCCGCUCGAAGAAGAAAAAGUCCUUUGGAAACAUGGACUGCGCACGCUCGCAGUCCUGCGCGAAGUGAUUUUCUCCGCGACAUAAAAGGCACUGAUUCUUAUUACGAAGAUUUUGCGCUUGCUGCAUAGUCAAGCCGCGGACCCAGAUUGACUUAGCCCGCCCAGUAGGCUGACGGAAACGAUCAGCCAAAGGAACUAUAUCCGGCAUUGACGCACUCAAACGCGGGCGUUUGGCGUCAGAGUCCGGACAUUGCCGUCCAGCCGAGAUUGAACGAGUCGAACGGGGACCAGAGCCAGACGCUCCAGCACCAGAGCCAGAAGCACCUUGACGCGAUGAAUCUGACGAAGGUGAAGCGGAGGACUUGAGUUCCUCCGCGUAAGUCUUCAAGACGUGAAGAAAACAGUCCAAACUGGUCCAUGGGCGCCUGAUUUCGACAGUGCGAUCGUACAUGAGACGAUCACGUAAGCUGUCAGGCAACAGACGAACCAGUUGAUAGACGAUAAGCUCCUCAGGAGUCGCAGCCGGCAGCUCCCGACGAAUGUCGUGAAGAUGUUGAAGCACUUGCUCCACUGAACACGCUGGUUUGGCGUUGAACAUACGGCAAAGUGCAUUGUAAGAGGAGGCGCCGGAUGACAGAACAACGGCUUCAGUGAACCAGUUUAGAAGCCAAGAAGCGCUGGGAAUCACUGGCGGCGUCAACGCGGAAAGCGAUUUACGAAGAUCUGUAACGAGAGACGCCGGACCCACACUUAAGACGACCCAAUUGGUGGCAGCUGAAUCAGAAAGAGUGUAGCCGGCCAAGUCGAGGUAUCCAACUAAAUCGUCGACCAAGAAAGAUAGGUAAUCGGGCAAACUCAAUUGCACUUUGGCUGCAGCGUCCGCUGAGACAAGACGACGUCUGUCAGGCUGCGGAGGCUCGAGGGGGCGCAGGCGCCGAGUAACAGUGCCCGGCUGUGAAUCGGACAUUGUAGCAUCACCGUUGACCGGCGACGGAAGCGGCACCGGAUCCACGGCAGUAGAAAUAGGAACAGCCCGAGGUUGUGACCCAGAAGGCUGAUCAGGCGAGGCGACUGUAGGCGCCGGUGCAAGCGCCAAGGCCGCCAUCGGCGAAGUAACGGUGUUUACCGCCGGAUCGGCUGAAACUCCAGUAUUCAUCCUCGGAGAAGAUACAGGAGACGAAGAAGUUUGAAGAACAGUAGGUAAAGCCGACCGACGAUAAAGUGAAAGAAAUGGACGAAAAAGCAUAAUCCCAGAAAGAAAAAUUUCACCGUCUCGAUGCCAAUGUUACGUUAAGGCUUAUCACAACCAGUCAUGGUGGUGUCGAAAGACACCGGAUGCGAUUACACCAGAGAAGGUGUAGCCAUCCAGUGUACGACCCGCACUAAUGUACGACGUCGCAAAAGGAAGAUCUUGAGAAUAGCUGAGUGAACCCCGUUGAAGAGAAACAUUGAGAGUUAUGUAACUGCUCUUGCACGUUACAGCCCUAAAUACCAGCGCUAGAGGAAAAGUCAUACAUUCCGCGAUCUAACUGCACGUACAUUCCGCGAUCUCACUGCGCCGUCCUGACCAAAUGUCUAUCACUGGAUGCAUACCCAGGCGGUUGCUCCAUCCACAAUUCCUCCUUCAGCUCACCAUUCAGAAACGCAGUAGACACAUCGAGCUGAUGUACCGUCAUGUUCCGGGCUGCGGCAACUGCUAAUAAAGCACGCAAUGACGAACCACGAGAGGUAGGGGCAAACAACUCCCCAUAAUCAAUCCCCUCACGUUGCUCGAAACCCUUGGCAACUAAACGCGCCUUAAAACGCUCCACGCUGCCGUCAUCGCUGUACUUAACCUUAUACACCCAACGACACGGCAACAAACGAGUACCAGGAGGUGGCUUCUUCAGCUCCCAAGUACUAUUAGCCAUCUGGGCGGCGAUCUCCUCGUCCAUCGCAUGCCGCCAGUCGUCUGCAUGUGGACUUGCAAUUGCUUCCUCAAACGAAUUAGGCUCAGGAAUACCAGCAGAGAAAGCAGCGUUAACGCGACCAGUGACAGUGCGACCAGGUUCGUUUCGCCACCAUUCGCCAGGGCGUUUACGCUCUCUAACUGGAUAUCUAGUUCCCGCCAUUUCCACAUCAGGCUGAUUGAUUCCUUGCCCAUUCGCACUGCUGGAAGGUCCAGCCCCAGCCGGCGCCCCCUCGCCACCCAAGUGCGGCGAUCCCUCGCCGACGGUGCUACCUGGUAUCCCUUCGCCAGCCCUAGGCAGCGAUCCCUCACCAGGCAAACUAGUGCGAAAAUCCUCCUCCUCGUCGACAUCGGACUCAUAAUCGGAGUCCCCGGUAUUACGCCGCCGGCCGACGUUAGAUUCAUCAAAACGAACGUUGGAAACUACGGCAAUAAUGCCGUCCUCGUAUAGUACACGAUACUGUCCACCGUUCCCGUAUCCAACAAGUAUUCCACGCCUGCUCACCGGGUCGAACUUGUCGCGCUUGACGUCGGGUACGUGGACGUAGGCAACGCAUCCAAAGACUCGCAGGUGACUGACGUUCGGACGAACAUUAAAGAAAGCUUCGUACGGAGUGACGGUUGAACCAGCAGUUGGCGACACAUUCCUAAGAUAGUUGGCUGUCGCUAACGCCUCCGCCCAUAAUGAUUUAGGCAGUCCAGACUCAACGAGCAUAGCCCUAGUCUUGUCCAAAAGUGUGCGAUUUAAACGUUCUGCAGCUCCGUUCUGCUCAGGGGUGUAGCCUACCGUAGUCCCGUGUAGAAUACCCCUGGAAGCGAAAUAGGCCUUCGUGCGAGUAUUAACAAACUCCCCGCCACGAUCUGUACGCACCUCCUUAACCUGCCUGCCAGUAGCGCGCUCCAGUUCCGCUAUCAUUACCACCAUCUUCUGGUAGACCUCCUCCUUGGUCGCUGUAAACGCAACAGCUGAAAGACCAGUAUGGUCGUCAAGCAGGGUUGUCACGUAACGCGAACCACUAGGCGAAGGUUCAGGCAUAGGCCCACACACAUCCAUGUGAAUGAGCGCGAGAGGCUGCGCUGCCUUAUGCCCAGAUAACGGAAAAGGACCACGUGUAUGUUUAGCAAGGACGCAAGUCUCACACACACACGUGCUGGCUGAUUGUAUGCUGUGUCGGUCAACAUCAAAUCCAGCUACCAUAUUAUGACGCAGCAACGUCUCAAGGUUGCUGUAUCCCAAGUGGCCAUACCUUCGGUGCCAAAGUGCUGCACGUUCAGCUCCGAUACCCACGGCAGCACACACUGCAUCACCACCAGAAG